rnacentral:lncRNA from 1 species
UAAGUCACCACCACCACCUCCUCCAGUAUACAAAUCACCUCCACCACCUCCUCCAGUUGACAAAUCUCCACCACCACCAAUUUAUAAAUACAAGUCUCCUCCACUACCUCCUCCAGUGUACAAGUCAUCACCACCACCUGCUUACAAGUCUCCACCUCCUCCAGUUUACAGUUCCCCACCACCACCAAUCUACAAGUCUCCACCUCCACCCUACCAUUACUACUACAAUUCUCCUCCUCCUCCUCGUCACUACUAAGCAAUUGUAUCCAAGUUUUUGAGGUAAUAACGCUUAACCAAUAAAUUAACUUUCGCAUGAUAAACCUUAUCUCUAUCAAGACAAACUGCCAUGUGUAUCAUGCCAAAUACGUACACCUAGAUCCAUGAAAAUGAAUGGUGAGGAGGGCCAUUUAGGCUCGGAGCGCCCUAGGCCUAGUUCCCCACCAUUUCCUGAAGUGCCGCCUCGGGUAUUAUCCUGGAAGGCGAUCGCGGCCCAUUUACCACCUCGGCUACAAUGUCAGGUCGUAACACCGAGGUGGACAUUGAAUGACAACUACGAAAAGGGGAGAUGUGAUCUCUGACACCUGAGCAAAGGCUGCUCUGACCCGCCGCCUGAAUCUGACAGAAUGUCCCAUCACGUCUCUUCAUGGAGACCGGUCAAGUCCACCUGAUCCACUGACUAUCUCAGAUCUUUUGGGACCCGUGCAAACAUCUCCUCUCUCCUAUCAGUCCCCUAUAAAUACACGAUACUUCUACUGAAAAAGGAGAUGACCAAUUUCUGGUAAAACACACUCCACUCAUUAUUUACUUCUCUAUAUCCGAACUGACUUAAGCUUCGGAGUUAUACCGGGGGAUCCAGCCCCUUUCUUAUCCAAGCAGGUGACUUCGUCCAAGAGAGUUGCCCAAGGUAAAGAUAUUCUUCCAAUUGAGGUGACUCACUCCUGCGGGUCGAAAAUCACCUCUUCAAUUGGCGCCGUCUGUGGGAACCGCAAAGAUAUUAGAAGAUGAAGCCUGCGCGUUCUAGAAGCAGAAAAGCUCUCACUAUCGAGGCUGGGCAAAGCAAUGCAGCUCAACAAGAAAAUAUUUCUGAAGGGCAGGAGUCCCCAAGGACUCAGCCCGCAAACGAAAAAGCCAUAACCCGUAUGGCCGAGUUUGUGACCGAGAACCCCAACAUCUUUGAAGAGUUGGGAAGAUACCUGAAGAGGCAAGGCAAACAAAAGGCCGAGUCCUCUAAAAGGAUGUCAGAUGGGUCUCUUGAGGACUCAUCUGAGGAGGAGUCGGAUGGAAGGCACUUAAGCCGAAGUGCCUCAAAGCGAGCAUUUUCUAAGGCCACUUCUAAGGUAGCCUCCCUGACCAAGGCGUUUUCCCGAGGGCUCUUGGGCCGACGACCCGAGGAAGAACCUCGGCCCUUGGGAAUACCCGGGGUGGACUGCAUGAGGGCUCCACCGUUCACGGAUGAUAUAAACGAGGAAAGGCUUCCUCCCAAUUUUAAGCUCCCCGCAGUACAAUCUUACGAUGGCCGAGGUGAUCCCGAGAAUCACAUCCAUACCUUCAUCUCGGCCUUCCAAAUAUACUGCAUCCCAGACCCUGUCAUAUGUCGGGCCUUUCCAGUAUUCCUCAGAGGAACUGCUCGAAAAUGGUUCUGAGCUCUAGAACCUAGGAGCAUUUCGACCCUGGGUGAAUUAGUGGAGAAGUUUCUCCACCGAUUUGUCUCCUCCCGACCUACGACUAGGACCUCGGCUUACCUGCUCACCGUGCAGCAGAACCCGGGAGAGUCACUCCGGUCGUACGUCCGGAGGUUCCAUGAGGAAAGCGUUCAGAUACCUGACCCCAAUGAGCAGGUAACCCUCGCUGCCUUUACCCAUGGACUCGUUGCCGGGGAGUUCAAUACGGGGAUCCAUAAAAAAUACCCCCGCACACUGCAUGAAUUGUGGUUGAAGGUUGAAAAGGGCAUACAGGCCGAAGACCUCCAUCGCAUGAAGAAAGAGGUCCAAGCCACCCGUCCAAGGGCUGAGCCCAGAAAGGGAAAAGACGCUGGCCGAACUGAAGUAGGGUCGGGAAGUGGCUUCCGAAGUCCUGGCCGAGACCGCCGCAGCGUGUUCGACAGGAUAUCCAAGGGGAAGUCACCUAUUCCCGAGUCCGAGUUGACUCCUUUAAAUACUACCCGAUCUCACGUGUUGUCCGUGAUGGAACAAAACAACCUCGGCAAGGGCCCGCCGAGGAUGUUUGGAAGCAGAGACAAGAGGAACUCGAACCUCUACUGCUUGUAUCAUCGUGACAUUGGUCACGAAACUGAGGAUUGCAACGAUCUCAAGAAGGAGAUCGAGAACCUCAUUAGACGGGGACACUUGAAACAGUUCAUCCGCAGAGGUGGAGGUCACCAACGUGACGAAAACCGGCAUGACAAAUGAGGUGACCAACGCCGAGAUGAGCGGCGGAGCUCCAGAAGCAGUUGCCGACCUCCUGAGGAUCCCAGGGAGACGAAAAGGCCUCCCCCAGACGGAUCUUCGGGACAUGGGCCAACCAUUGCCCGGGUCAUUAACACCAUUGCCGGAGGUCCGACGGGAGGGGACAGUCAGAACUCCCGGAAGAGAACCUAUAAGCAGGCUAACCCGGAUCAGGCCGAGUCGAGUUCUCGCCUGUCCGAGGUGAUCACCUACGGGCUCAGUGAUCCCAUCCCAGCUGCAUCCAGCAGUCAUGAAACCUUGGUGAUUGAAGUCCUCACCAAUAACUACAUUGUGAAAAGGUCUACAUAGACCCGGGAAGUUCAGUUGACGUCAUGUACCUCCGUACCUUUGAGAGCCUUAAAAUGGCUAAGGGGUGCAUGACCCCGCUGAGAACCCCUCUUGUAGGGUUCGGGGGACACGUGGUGCACCCCGAAGGGAUGGUGACUCUGACAGUGACCAUAGGGCAUCACUCUCGCUGUAGAACCGUCCCUGUCAAUUUUGUGGUGGUUAAGGCUGACUCCCCAUACAACCUACUUUUAGGUCGGCCUACGCUCAAUGCCUUGCGGGCGGUCUACUCCACCUACCACCUGAGCUUCAAGUUUCCUACCCCAGCAGGGGUGGCCGAGGUCAGCAGCGACGUCUGUGCUGUCCGGGAGUGCUACCUCGCCACCCUACAAGCAGCCUCCCCGUCUACCUCCGGUGCGAGGUCCGAGAAGAGGUCAAAUAUCCUCUCAAUAGAUAGCAUCGAUCCUCAGUGAGCUGAGAAGGUCCCGAGGCUGGAGACUGGGGAUGAGGUGGAAGAGAUUCCCCUGGACCCCACGAAACCUGAUCAGACAGUUCGCGUUGGUACCCGAUUGCCCGGUCCUAUCCGAAGAGGUAUGAUGGACCUCCUCAGGGAAUACCGGGACGUCUUUGCUUGGGCCGCCGAAGAGGUCCAAGGAGUCCCGCACCAUCUCAUGAUGCAUGACUGAACGUCGACCCCCAAGUCCGUCCGGUCAAACAGAAGAGAAGGCACAUCGGCCCUGAGCGCAGCCAAGCUGUUGGUGAGGAAGUGGACAAGCUUUUACCCGCUAAAAUAAUCCGAAAAGUCCAAUACCCGAUCUGGUUGUCUAACUCGGUCAUGGUCAAGAAGGAUACGGGGGCUUGGAGAAUGUGCGUCGAUUUUACCGACCUCAACAAAGCCUGCUCCAAGGAUUGCUACCCCUUGCCCAAAGUCGAUACUUUGGUAGACUCAGCAAUGGGCUACGAGAUCCUCUGUUUCUGGGAUGCAUUCAAAGGCUAUCACCAAAUUGGGAUGAGUCAAGAAAACCAGGAGAAAACGGCCUUCUACACCGACCGCGGCACGUACUGUUAUACUACCAUGCCAUUCGGGUUGAAGAAUGCCGGAGCCACUUAUCAACGCUUGGUCAACCAAGCAUUCAAGUCUCAAAUCGGCCGGAAUGUUGAGGCCUAUGUAGAUGACAUCCUCCUCAAAAGCCAGACGAACUCCACCUUCCUGGCCGACUUGAAGGAGGUCCUUGACAUCCUGCGGAAGGUGAAAAUGAUGCUGAACCCCAAGAAAUGUGUUUUUGGGGUCACCUCGGGGAAAUUUCUAGGUUACCUCGUCUCAAGGCGAGGUAUCGAAGCAAAUCCGGAUAAGGUGCGAGCCAUCCAGGAGAUGUCUCCACCCCGGUGCGUCCGCGAUGUCCAAAGGCUGACAGGGCGAUUAGCCGCCCUGAAUCGGUUCUUAUCGCAGUCGGCAGCUAAAGCACUGCCCUUUUUCAAAGUGUUGAAGAAAGCUGACCAUUUCUCCUGGACGGAAGAGUGUCAACAGGCGUUUGAGCAGUUGAAGGAUUACCUUCACUACCUUCCAACGCUCACCUCACCUCGUCCGGGGGACAAAUUAAUCUUAUACCUUUCUGCUGCGGCCGAAGCGGUGAGUGCCGUGCUGAUAAGGAAGGAAGGGGUCCAAAUGCCCGUCUACUACGUUAGCCGAGUCCUCCGAGGUCCAGAGACCAGGUACACACAAGCAGAGAAACUUGUGCUAGCCCUGAUCCACGCCGCCCGCAGACUCAAGCCCUACUUCCUAGCUCACCACGUCUGCUUGAGGACUGAUCAACCACUUCGGCAGAUUUUGACACGACCAGAGGUUUCGGGACGUCUUACCAAAUGGGCCAUUGAGCUGGGGGAGUACGACCUAACUUAUGAGCCUCGCACAGCGAUCAAGGCCCAGGCUCUCGCAGACUUCGUAGCCGAGCUCACCUUUGACGAGGUGCAAGGAUCCGUCCCGGCUGCCACAUCGGCCACAGUUGAUGUGGCCACCACUGGGCUCCAGCGGUGGAUCCUACACGUGGACGGUUCGUCAACAGUGAGGGUAGUGGAGCAGGCUUGCUCCUCGAAGACCCCCAAGGAGAAAUAUGCUAAUAUGCCUUAAGAUUUGACUUCGCUGCUUCAAACAAUGAAGCUGAAUACGAAGCCGUCAUUGCUGGACUGCAGCUAGCUCGCAAGCUCGGGGCCGCACACAUCUUGGUUUAUAGUGAUUCCCAACUCGUCGUGUGCCAGAUAUUAGGUGAGUACGAAGCCAGGGACGAGGUGAUGCAUCGUUACCUCUCCAAGGUCCUCCAGUUGGCGACUCACUUCGAGUCUUUUGAAAUUCAAAGAAUACCGCUAUCGAAAAACAGAAGGGCUGACGCCCUCUCCCGGCUUGCCUCAACCUCUUUCUCUGACCUGAACAAGACGGUUCUCGUUGAAGUUCUAGCCGAACCAGGAUAUGUAGCCGAGGUAGUAUACCCCGUCUACCCUGGGGACACCUGGAUGGGUCCCCUGACUCGAUUUUUCAGCCAGGGUGAGCUCCCCGAAGACCGAGCUGAGUCACGGAAGCUCCAACGAAAAGCAGCACGGUACAUUCUCCGACAAGGCCUUUUAUACAAAAGGUCUUACCUCGGCCCUUAGUUGCGAUGUAUCACGCCCGAGGAAGGCCAGAGAAUCCUCCAAGACAUACAUGAGGGGCUCUGUGGUGCUCACGUCGGCUACAGAAUGCUGGUAAAAAAGGCUUUGUUACUUGGGUAUUUUUGGCCCACUAUGAGGAUAGAUGCCCAGGUCAUGGUCCUUUGCUGCCCCUCCUGCCAGCAUCACGCUCCUGAGCACCACCAGCCGACCAAUUUAAUGAUCCCUAUCACCUCGUCAUGGCCAUUUGAGCAAUGGGGAACGGACAUAAUUGGCCCCUUUCCCAGAGCUCCAGGCAAUUAUACCUACGUGGUGGUAGCAGUGGACUACUUCACCAAAUGGGUCGAAGCUGAACCCCUAAAAAAUAUCACUGGUGCGGCAGUCCAGAAAUUCUUCUGGAAGAAUGUGGUUUGCCGCUUCGGCCUACCCCGGGUGAUCAUCUCGGAUAAUGGCCGACAGUUCGCCGAUAAUCCUUUCAAGGCCUGGUGUGAGAACCUCGGGGUCAAACAGCAUUUCACUUCGGUGGGACACCCCCAAGCCAACGGACAAGCCGAAAACUUCAAUCGCACGCUCCUCCAUGGCCUCAAGACCAGGCUCCACCAGGCUGGAUCGUUUUGGAUGGAAGAGCUCCCCAGUGUGCUGUGGUCCUACCGAACUACGCCGAGAUCAGCAACCCAGGAAACCCCGUUUUCCUUAACCUACGGGUCAGAAGCUGUUGUUCCAGCCGAAUUCAUCACCCCGAGUCCACGAAUGGCCGCAUAUGCUGCCGAAGUCAAUGAAGAAGAACGGCGAGUUGACCUCGACCUCGUCGAAGAGAAGCGUGAUAUGGCCGCGGCCAAAGUUGCUGUUUACAAAAAUAUCGUAGCUGGCUACUACAACGCUCGGGUUAAACAUUUGCGGUUCAGUCCGGGAGACCUGGUGCUCAGGAAGAACUCAGUCAGCCGGGCUGAACCUCAGGGUAAACUAACCCCCAAGUGGGAGGGACCAUACCGUGUUGUUGAGUCCAGCCAAAAUGGAUAUUGUAAAUUGGCAUACCGAGAUGGGUCUCUGAGUGCCCCGAACUUGGCAUGCUGAAAAUCUUAAGUUGUACUACCCUUGAGGGUAUGUGCUUUUAAUCUUGAGUUAUUUCACACUUAUUUUCAUUUCAUUAUAAGUGAAAAAUAAGGGGACAAAGUAGCAGUAAAGAGGAAAACCGAAUUUAAUUAAAAAGAAAGCAAGAAUAUGAACUCAAUUCCAUUGAAUUACAUAAAAGUAGAAAGCCGAGGUCACCUUUAAUUAGGAAGAAAGCAAGAAUAUAAACUCAAUUCCAUUGAAUUACAUAAAAGUAGAAAGCCGAGGUCACCUUUGACCUCGGCCUACAAUGACAAAAAAAAAAACAAGUGCCUCUAGGCACUCCCUACCCUGACAUCCUGGCCCCCCGUGGUCGCGCCACCCGUUUCGGCACCCUGUCCACCCUCAGCUCCUCCACCGGCCUGGUCGUCUUCAGUACCAUCUAGUUCAAACUCCUGGAGCCAUUUGUUGAAUUCGGCUCGGACUUCGGUUAGGUCUUUCUCAGUCCGGAUGCCCUCAGCCAUGCUGUCGCAUAGCUCCUUGGCAUCCUCGUUAUAGUGCGAAGUGCUCUGAAGGGACUCCAGUUGUUCAGAGGGAAGAAAGGAUGCCGCGUCAUUAAUAGCCGACGUGUACCCGAACAUGAAGCUUGGCCGGGUGAGCUCGCCGAGGUCACGGAUGAAGGACUCUGACGUCCGGAAGGCUUCCACAGCAGUGACCCCGGCCUUGUCCAUGGCCUCCCUGUUUGACUGUUCUUCUUGGGCCCUCCUUUUUUUCUCCUCAUCAAGAGCAGUCACCAGGGAAUUGUUCGCGACCUCGGCCCUUUUGUUAGCCGCCUUGGCCUUGUCACGCUCCAACUCGGUUGCCUUCAGUUUUUCUUCCAACUCGGCAAUUCUCUUCUGGAGCUCGGCAGGAGGCUCAUAGUUUUCCAUGAACUUUCCAUACCGUUGAAUCAUCUCGACAAAAAAAGCCGUGGUAGAGGCCCAUGACACCGAGGCGCUCUGCAUCAACUCCCCUGCGGAGAGCUUCCUAGCAUAAGUGCUAUCUCGUGGCAGCACUGAAUGCACCAAGAGCUCCUGAGCGACCAAAGGGUUCUUGCAGCGAUCGUUGAAAUUAAUCUCCCACUCUGGACACCAGUGUGAUCCGGGGUGUCUCUUGUCCUCCUCAGCUGCCUUGAAAGGCACAUGAUGGAGUUUGAACAAAGAUGACCCCGUGACGGGGUUCUCCGGAAAUAUGGUCACACCCUGACCCCGGGGGGGAGUGGCAAUCGUGACCCAGCGAGAAGGGAUUCCCACCGGAAUUGCCGAGGCUCGGGAACCUCCCGGAGUGGCCGAGGUGUGCGAGCCCUCGCCCACGAUCACCACGGCAGGCUCGCGGUCGCCCGACGCCGCGGUGGUUUUCUUAGCCGGCCUGGAAGAGGACCCUGCAGUGUCCUUGCGCUUUUUGGGAGCUCUUUUGACCACCUCGACAUCUCCCGAGGUUAUCAGGUCGAAAAUCUUCGUCACUGCAAAGUAGGAGACGAAGUCAGUUAGAAUUCAAGAGGGAUAAACUAAAAGGGAAGAAAUGGAAAAAUACAAAGUCUGUGAAGCCUAGUCGAGAGUAAGACAGGCUGGUCAGAGCUCGUCAAGGCUCAACUGAUCCCGCCUUCCACGAGCACCACUUCGGGAAAAUCCCAGCAGUUUAUCCUGAGGCCCGACCCCGUUAACUUCUGGAAGUUACGCUCUUCUAACUUCCCUGGAGAUAUCUCCUUGAUCGAGGUGGGAGGCCUCCACCAGAAUCCGCGAGGGAAGUCAUCGGCCGAGACGAAGAAGAAGUUUUGCUUCCACUCCUUUAUUGAGUUCGGAGCAUCAACCACCAACUUCGGAACUUUGUUUCCGAAGUAGAACCAUCCUUUUUCACUUCUGCUGUUCUUGAGUGAGUAACAGCGGCGAAAGAGGUUGACCUAAGGUUGUAUCUCCUGAUGUCGGCAAAGUAGCUGGAAGCCAACGAGAAUGCGAAUAGCGUUAGGGGUGAGUUGAGUGAUUCUCACCCCCCAGUACCUCAGGCAGUCCCGAAGAAACCUCGUCGUGGGCACUCUGAGUCCGGCCUCCAGCUGUUCCUGAUAGAUAGUCACCUUGCCCUUUGGUGGCAGUGCGGCUGACUGAUGCGGUUGGGGUAUGUAAAUACUAUAAUCCCUUCUCCAGGGAUACCUGCGGACCACCUCGGCUAUUGAGGCUUGUCCCAUACCACUACUGAAGAACGGCAUCUGGCCGUAGUCGAGAGUUGCCACGUUUGGAGGAGUGGAAGGUUCUUGUACUCCCUCGUCUCUAGGGAUCUCAAUCCCGAGGUCAUCGUUGUAUAGGACCUCGGGCUGGACCUCGAUCUCCUCGGGCUGCACCUCAACCGCCUCAGCUCGGCGUGAUGCCUCGGCACCUCCACCCUCAGCUUGGUGAGAUGCCUCAGCACCUCCGCCCUCGGACGCGGUCCUUUCCUGGGAGGGGUCAGGCCUCUCUGCCUCAGUGAGGUCAGGUCUCACUGUCUCUUUGUGCGUACGAGCUGUUCUAGCCAUUGUAUCAGAAGGGGAAGAAGUGAACUUACUUAGAAUCUGCGACUGGAAGAAGAUGCCGAAGUAGACGUGGUUUAGAAAGGUUGCCGAAGUGAAAAGAGAAAGAAACAGAGUUCUGGGGUGAUUCUUGAUUUUUGGUGAAGAGUAAAACGGUGAAAAAAGACCACUAUUUAUAGGCCACCAGGGUGAAACCCAAGAGACGGCACCCUCUCUCUUCAUUAAUGGGAGGACUGUUCGUCUGCCAACACAGCUGACAGCCGUCCCUUCAGUUAUCACUCAGUCCCAUCUAUGCGGUCAUGACGUGUCCGUGUUCCGUGUUUUAUACGCUUCUCAGCUUCGGGAAGUAACGACCACGGCGGAUGCCCAUCUCGCCCUUCUCAAAGCUUGGGGGGCUUAGUGAGGAGGGCCAUUUAGGCUCGGAGCGCCCGAGGCCUAGUUCCCCAUCAUUUCCUGAAGUGCCGCCUCGGGUAUUAUCCUGGAAGGCGAUCGCGGCCCAUUUACCACCUCGGCUACAAUGUCAAGUCGUAACACCGAGGUGGACAUUGAAUGACAACUACGAAAAGGGGAGAUGUGAUCUCUGACACCUGAGCAAAGGCUGCUCUGACCCGCCGCCUGAAUCUGACAGAAUGUCCCAUCACGUCUCUUCAUGGAGACCGGUCAAGUCCACCUGAUCCACUGACUAUCUCAGAUCUUUUGGGACCCGUGCAAACAUCUCCUCUCUCCUAUCGGUCCCCUAUAAAUACACAAUAUUUCUACUGAAAAAGGGGAUGACCAAUUUCUGGUAAAACACACUCCACUCAUUACUUACUUCUCUAUAUCCGAACUGACUUAAGUUUCGGAGUUAUACCGGGGGAUCCAGCCCCUUUUCUUAUUCAAGCAGGUGACUUCGUCCAAGAGAGUUGCCCAAGGUAAAGAUAUUCUUCGAAUUGAGGUGACUCACUCCUGCGGGUCGAAAAUCACCUCUUCAAAUGGUAGAAAGUUUUCUUAAGAACCAAGAACAGCAUUAGUAUUCCCUCUGCUUCCAAAAACUUGUGUAUUAAAUAGAUUAAUGAAUUGUUUAACAUGCUCAUCUACUUGAAAAUGCACAAUACCCAUAACCCACUGAAAUUUUUGCAGGAAAAGGGAAAGAGAAUCUGUGUUUGAGAGCUUCAUGAAGAUGUUGAAGAAUAAGAAUAAAAGCCCAAUGCGAGGAUGUUUUCAAGUUUUUCUAUGUCCACUUUAAUUUGUAAAUUGAAUUUUACAACUCAAUUAAUUCCUUGUUUGUGAGGUACGUAUUGUUUUACGUACCAUGCCGUACAUGUUUGUAAGGAUUUCUAUCCUAUUGGCAAAAGUCGGUUCCAUACAAUUAAUCAAUUCAUUUCACUUCUAUUGGCUCUACUAUUUAUGCAUGUUACGACACUCUUUCCCUUAUAUUUUGCCUUUAAUAUUAUGAGUCAAUAGUAAUAAUGGGCCUUUUUCUUAAAAUUAUACUAUUAUACAUAGGUAGUUUGGUCUAACGCUAAAUUCAUGUUUGUCUUUCUUUUAUUCCCUUUACAUCUCAAAGUAUACUAUAGUUUGUAAUCAUUGUGGUGAUGAUAUUACCAGCUGGUACUUAUAGUUUAAGGCAGAGACAUGAUAUUAACAACUAUCUCAUUGAAACAUAAGUCAAAAUCAUGACAAGUGUGAGUCUUGGUUAAUGCACAAUUUGUUAGUGGAAUUUAUAUUUAUAAAACUCAAAAAAAAUUUUUGACAAUGCUAUUACUAAUUAAUUAAGGACUUCAUUGCUAUAAUUUAUCGCUUACUAGUUUAAACUAUAAAUGAUCUCAAUACUUUUCUCCAUGAUGUCGAUUUCUUUAGACUACGAAAGGGAAAAAUUAGUGACAUAUCCCUUACUGAUUACAACAUCAGCAAAAAUUAGUUAUAAACUUUUCCGGUGGUUUUAAAUCCCUCGGGCACUAAGGUUUUUUGCACAUCGAGUGAAUUAAGGAACAUAGGCAAUUCGUUCUGCAUACCAAGUCCUUGUUUAAGAUGCACGUACUAAAAUGCAUCCACUUCAUUAAUUUGGAAAAUUGCCAUAGUUUUUUUUAAGCAUUUUGAUUUUUUACAUGAUUCAAAAUUUUCUUAUUGGAUACAAUCACUUUGUGUCAAGAACACAUUUUCAAUCAUCUUUUUUAUCUUCUCAAUAAGAAAAUAAAAAUUUAUUCAUGCUUUUCUAACAUAUCCAAUCAUUGAUCUGAAAAAUAAAGAAUUAAAAAAAAAAGACAUUUUCAAUCAUUGCUUACAGGGCAACUUCCCCAUGUGAACCUCUUCAAACAAAGCCAAUAAUAUGAAGGAACAUCUAAAUACACUUUUGCCCUAAAGGCUGGUUGCCUUGGGGUCAAAAUUUAACCUUCGGGAGUAUAAUUACCCGCCAAAUUUAUUAUUUUUUAUGGGUAUAUAGUUCCAAUUUUGCCUCCUGUUAAGCUUAUAAAUAUAUUACGACCCAGAAAAUAAAGGAAUCUUGAAUAGUAACAUGUCCAUUGACUUGAGUUGUCAUCAAUUUGGCUACUUCGAUUCCAUGAGGCCAAUCCAAUUCACACUAGCUAGAGAAAAUGGUGAUAAAGGCACUUAGAAAUUUAUAUGUAAUAUUGAUUGGUAGUAACUGAUAAGUAUAUAUUUUACGUGUUUUAAAUAUGUUUUAUUAGUUAGUUUUGGUGUGUUUUAACUACUUUUAUAACUAAUUAACUAGGAAUCUAGUGAAAAUAUGCAUUUUGUGGUUUGAAGUGUGAAAAUUGUAUUUCUAUGGAUUUUAAUGGUGAAAACUUCAUGUUUUUGUAGGUUUAAUGAUUCAAUCAUCAAAUGACAUGAUUUGAGAAGAUAAUUAGAUGAUUGAUGAUGUUUUGAAGUGAUAAAAAGAGAAUACAAAGUGCAAGAGAGGAAAUGCAAUCAAGAAUAAAAGAAGAAAAUUUUUGUAGCUUUGACAUAUUGUGGUAUUUUGGCAAUAUAUUGAGCUACAAUGAUUGGAUUAAGGUGAUUCUUAAACCAUUUGAAGCUAAGAUAUAGAUCUACAUUUGGUAUGAAGGCAUCGAAACCCAUGUCAGUCAUUUUCCUUGUCAAAAUGUUGAAAUACAGAAGUGCAACUCUGUUCUCGAAAGCUAAAACAGAGCUCUGGCUAGUCGAGGGUAUUUUCAUCAUUUCUUAGUCCACAGAGCUCCAAAUGAGAUGAUUCUUAAGGCAUUAGAACCCUAACUCAAAGAGCUACAACUUUCAUAUUUUGUACAAGAGUUAGUUCGGCCUCCAUCAUUCAGAAAAUAGUAGUUGAAGUGGUGCCAAAUGCAUAGAAGUGAAAACGCGAGCUAUCAAUACUCGACCUGAAGUCGCGUAUUCCUGAGGUCAUGCAUUCUCUUCUAUUUUCUGCAACUUGCCCUGCUUUCACAUAAUUUUUUCAUCUCAAUUCCAACUAUCAAUUUCGGCUAUAUCUGAUCAAGAAAAGUGUGGAAAGUUUGAAAGACAACUCAUAGGAGUUUCAAGAGUCAAAAAUUACAAUUAGAAACAACUCAUUUGGCUCUUGAAUCCUCUAUAAAUAGAGGCCUUUGAAGAACAUUUUCACAACUUUGGAAGGUUAGAGAAACUCCACAAAAACAUAGUCUUCACUAGAAUUUCCUUAGUUCAUUAGUUAGGGUAGUAUAGUAUAGUUAGUGUAGCUUUUCCUUCUUGUAUUUAUAGUUAGGUUUGAAUGAAGAUUCAGGAGCAAAGAUAGAGAGGUUGAUCUCAUGUGACAAGGGUGAUAUCUCUUCUACUACUUUCUCUUUUGUAUUUGAUUUCAUAUUUAACUAUACUACAAAUUUGGCUUUGUUUUUUUUUUUUAUCAUGUUUAGUUAAAGUUUAUGCCUAGAGUAUGGAUGACCUUUCUAUAUCUUGUUUGUGAUAUUUAACUGGUUAUUUGAUGAUGUUAUUUUUGAGCAAGUUAUUUAUCACUUUUGCUUUUCUAAUCGUGAUUAACUGGCCAUUAGUUGUGAUUAUCUAAAAGUGUUAAGUUUGUAAUGAGAAUUGGAGUUUAACACUAGUUCAAGGAAGUGAUAAAUUUAGGGAGUUCACUCAUGAGAGUAGAGGAACACCUUUGUGACCUAAGUGACUUGUUUCAUAUAAUUUCAUAGAAAAAAUGAACUUGUAAUUAAUUUCAUAACCACGAGAGUAAGUAUGGUUUAGCUAUAUGUAUAGUUGAUUCACUACGAGAGUAGGUUUCACAUACAUUAGAAAAUUACAUCAUAACUAGUCAAGAUAAUAUCAUUCAUUUAAUCAGUAAUCUCAUUUGCAUGAGUAGUAAGGCAUUCCAUAUCUCUAGGAGGUUUUUAGUAUUAUUUUCAUUACUUUUAUGUUUAUGGUAGUCUAGAUAAUAAUGGAGUUCAAAAACUACUAGUAAUUGAAAAUUUUCCCUGUGGGAUCGACCUUUAAUACCCUAUACUCGCUCUCGACUCGUAUACUUGCGAAAAAUCACGUGUGCGGUAUUUAGAAUUUAUAAAUGUAAAACUUGACUGUAGAUGAACUAAUUGAUAUAUGUAUACCCCGCACUCGUCAGUAACCAGCUUGUAUUGAUCCCAUUAUUGUGGAUAAUUGUGCUCUUAUGAAAAAAAAUUAUAAAAAAAUUAGCAAAAUUUAUGAUAACAAAUUAAAUUUAUUCAUACAAAUCAGUGAAAGAAGUAGAAUUUUAAAGACCAUGAUGAAAUUAAUACUUUCAAGGGCUCUAUUAGGAAGACUUCACUUGUUGGUGAAACUACACUAGCACAGUUAUAUGCACAUUUACUGUUUUGGUAUCUAAUUUCCUUGCCUUAAGUUGGGUGCAGAUGUUUAUAUUACAAAUAGAUGGUAUCAUAAAAUUGUUGUAUUCACGUUUGUUCUUUUUUUUUCUUCCUUAAGUUUUUUUCUUUAUUCUCGUGACUUCAAAAAUACGAACUCAAGAAAUUGGCUGCUUAAUCAAUAUGUCAUACAGGCUUCGCUAGUGAGGUAUAACUUCACAACUAGAGUCAAUAGAAAUUAUCAAAUGAUUUUUUAACAUCCAAAUUAAGCAAUAAAUUUUGUUUUCAUUUUAUGACAUAUAAUAGUACUACUUCAUGAGAGAUUUUAUAGUUUCUUUUAGGUAUCAUACCUACAAGUGAUAUUUGUCAUUGGAUAGUGACAGAAGUGUUAAUGAUUGUAAGAUUAAAUAUUGUUAAAUAUUGAAAUUUAAACUAUUUAUCUUUAUUGAAAGAUACAAGUUAAAGAAUCGUUCAAGGGGGCAAUUUUCCAUCUUGUCUUUUUGAAAAAACGCUAUCACAUUGUAUAGGCAUGAUAGGUUCAAAUUUGUCAUUAAAUUUAUGAUUGAUUUCCCUUUUAUUCAAGCCAAAUAUUGUUUUAAUUAUCAAAUUCUACUUAUAUUUGGUUAAUUGUACUAAUUGUAGGGCGGUAGAGCAAAAGUUGCUAAAAAUAGGUGAUUUUCUGCAAAUUGGUUGUCAAGGCUGAAGGAUUUGGGAUUCGCAUGUUCAAGGCCUGUUUCCAAGUUUGAUUCAAACUCUGGACAGUUUUAGAGGAAGAUUUGGAAGAUUUGAAAUUUCAUUAUUAGUUUUAUGGUUGAAUUAGGAAUCUUGGAAUAAUUUCUUUUGUGAUUUAUUUUUCUAUUUAGGAGACUAGUUGUUAUUUAGUAGUAGACUUCAAUUAGAAAACAAAGAGAAAAAGAAGGCCGGAAUCCCGCUUGAUUAAUACCUUGGCCAGGGAACAAUCUCGGUGGGGAGGACGGCCACUUAGCCUCUCAAUUCAUCUUGCUUUUCGUUAGUUUGAGAGGAAAACCAAUUGCAACUAGAUUCAAUGGAGUCUGGCAGAAUUUCUUCUAGGAUGCGUAGCUAAAUCCUCAAUUUUUAGUCGAAGGUCAAUUUGAAAAUUCGGUUCCAAAUAUCUGUGAAAUCGAAUUAUUUUACUUAUUUCUUUUAUUUAUUGGUAUUCGCACGUUUUCUGAUUUAACUUUUUAUGAUUGUUUUGUUAUUUGAAUGUCAAGGGUCCGAUAUUCGAAUUAACUUAAUAAUCUACUGCCAAAUUAACCGGUUAAAUCCGUAAUUGUUUGAUUGAUUAAUAUCAGUGGCGACUAGCGUGAUUGGUCCCAUGUUAGGAAAACGUCUGAUCUAAUUUAAACAAACCGUCGUAGCGUGUUUGUUGAUUAGGGUUGGACUUUUCUAAUUCUUAAUUCAAUUGAGAAAUUAAAUCUCCCGGUCGUACCUAAGAUUAUUUUUUUGUUAGCGAAAUAGUUAAUGGUCGUACCUUGACUAUCGAAAAAGUAAGGAAGAGUUGAUUGUUUAUCGCGUGUACGACAACUAUAAUCAAUCUAUUAAUGAGUAAUUGAAUUAUCUUUGCAUCAGUAAUCAGUUGAAUGGACCGUGUCUGAAAAGUUGUACCUUUGGCUAGAGUCUUAUCUGUUGUUGAUUCAUUCAUAUCUAUCUUCAUGCGUUGUUUUAAUUUAGUUAAUUAGUUAUUUUUAUAAAAACCCCUCAUCUCUGGACUCUAAAAGAAAUAAAUUAUUUCUAGUUCCUGUGGAUUCGAUCCUACUCACCGCUAUAUACAAAAUUUGUAUUUUUUUGAAUAAAUAAUUAUUAUUACACAGGCUUGACACCUGUCAAGGCAAAAUUUCCUUAACUUCAUCAUCUGUAGACGUAAACUUUCUACGGGUGAUAUAAUAUAAGGAAAUUUUGCCUAUACGAUGUGAUAGCAUUUUUUCAAAAAAGACAAGAUGGAAAAUUGCUCCCUUGAACGGAAAAAAUCAUGAUCUUUCCUCAAACUAGUCUACUAGUCAAUUCUUUACAAAAGAAUACUCGCUCCUAAACAUAGCCUGUUCAUCUACACUGUCCCGCAGAAUUCUAGAAAGUUAGGCAAAACUAGACAAGUUGACAGGUAUAAUCAUACCCAAGAUCAGGAACAAGCAGUUGCACAUUUCAAAAUUCGCUGCUGCAACAGCUAAUUUGAUGACUUACAACACUACACGGUCAAACUUUGAAUGGCAAUGGAUCUUUUGUUGUACGUCAUGAUGUAAUUUUCAUGUUACAUACAUUAAUAGGUUGAUAUCUAUAUUCUUUAAAUUAUCAUGAUAAUACCCUUAAUUAGAUUUAACUGAUAAAAAGAACACGUGUUAAUAUACAAAAGUGUGUAACGUGAAUGUUACAUUACUGUAUUGCAGAAGACCUAUAGUCUCUUCAUAUCUCUUCCUGCACGUAUCAAUUCGUUUCCUCUAGAUAAUAAUCUCCCAACUCGUUUCUUUACAAAUGCACCUUUUAUGUUUUAUUACCUCCAAAAGCCUUUACAGGGUCUUUACCCUAAAAAUCAAUUCACCGACUCGCAUUUGAUGUCAGAAAUUCUUAAGACGAAUUCUACUUUACUCAAAGAUUGACUGUUAAUAAUGAGACAGCGACCAUUUUGUAUUAUUAGACCGUCCUUCUUGAUAGGUAAAAGAAAUAGAGAGGAAAGUGGGUCCGUAUAUGGUCUUUUAUUCAUAGAUAAUACAACAUUACGCCAUCGAGCAUUCACACAAUAUUUCAAAGUCAUAGCAUGCCUAAGGCCCUGUUUGAUAGCUCAAUUUCGUAAUUAAAUUUAAUAGAUUCAAAUUUUAACACAUUUAAAUCAUUUGAUAACAAAAAAUUGAAUAUUUAAAUUAAUUAAGUAACACUGAACUUUCUAAACAAAACUUGCUUUCAAAAUUAAGUGAUAAGUUAUUCACUUAUCUUUGAAUGUGAUAUGCACUCAAAUAUAUUAAAUUUAAUAAUUUAAUGGAUUCAGAUUUCAGAUUUCAGUUUUAUUACACACCCUAAGUUGCAAAAUAAUACCAAAACUUGUUAUUAUAUAGCUUGAGAUUCAAAAAUUUAGAGCAUAAUUCUCAACCUAACACAAUCGAAUAAUGAAUAUUCACGAUUGUUUCAAAGUACAAUUUGAGGACAACCCAUUCCAACGCGUACACGAUUUUUAACUUUUCUAAAGUUGUUGAGAGCUGUUAAAAGAGAUUUACCAUGUUUACAUCUUCCAAGUCUUGGAAGUGAAAAAUGAAGCCACUGAGUGCUAUAAAAAGGGGGCUAGAGGCUGCCUAGAAGCAUAUCAGCCUAAAACAAGAAUUUGUAGUAACAAUGGGGAGCAAAGCAAAAGCAACGGGGUCUAGGCUGACUCCUCUUCUUACCACUGUUUUAGUGGUAUUUGUCGCCCUUGGCUUGCCCUUGGAAACUGCAGCUGAUUAUUACAAGUAUUCAUCUCCUCCUCCUCCUCCUUACCACUAUUCUUCACCACCACCUCCAGUGUAUUCACCUCCACCAACCCCUGCUUAUAAGUUACCCCCACCAUCUCCUCCAGUUUACAAGUCCUCACCACCACCUUACCACUACUCACCACCUCCGGUGUAUUUACCUCCACCAUCUCCAGUUUACAAGUCACCACCACUACCCCCUCCGGUAUACAACUCCCCGCCUCCACCAGUGUACAAAUACAAGUCCCCACCACCACCUCCUCCAGUUUACAAAUCUCCAUCGCCACCAGUUUACAAAUACAAGUCACUCCCACCACCUCCUCCGGUAUACAAGUCUCCUCCGCCACCUGUUUACGAGUACAAGUCUCCUCCACCACCUCCUCCAGUGUACAAGUCCCCACCACCUCCAGUUUACAAGUACAACUCACCUCCACCUCCUCCCCCAGUUUACCUGUCUCCACCUCCACCCUAUCAUCACUACUACGGUUCUCCUUCUCCUCACCACUACUAAGCAAGUGCAUAAGUUUUGAGGUAAUAAUACCUAUCCAAAACUUUAUCAACACAAACUGCCAUGUAUAUUAUCAUGCUAAGGACGUACACUUGAUCCAUGAAAAUGACUAGUAGAAGAUUUUUUUUAAGAACCAAAGAAAUACAUUAUUUUUUCGGUCUGUUUUCAAGAAUUUGAGCAGUAUACAGAUUAAAGAGUGUUUUUUUUUUUGUAAACUUGCUUGUCAACUUAAAAAUGCACAUAGCUGAAAGCCAACUGAAUAUUUGCAGGCAAAGGAGAAGGCAAUCGGUGUUUGAGACCUUCAAGAAGAUGUAGAAGAAUAAGAAUAAAAGCCCAAUGCGAGGAUGAUUCCAAGUUUCUACGUUACCAUUUCUACAUCUAAAUUGACUUUAGCUCCUGAGUUCCAUGUUUAUGGGGUUUGUACCGUUUUACGUACCAUGCAGUACAUGCUUGCAAGGUUUUCUGUCCUGUUGGCAAACUGCAGGUCCAUAUAAUAAAUGAAUACUAUUUACAUUACGACACUUUUCUCUUUUUCUCUUAUAUUUUGUCUUUAAUAUUGUUGAUCAUUUUUUUUUUAUCAAAAGCAUCAAAUGCUUAGGUAAUUUGGUCUAAUGCUAAUUGUUUUACUUUUAUUUUUCACCUACACCCCUUUUCAACUCAAAGGAUGCUAUAGUUUGUGAUAAUUGUUUAAGACCGAAGCAUGAUACUAAUAAAUAUCUCAUUGAAAGUCAAGGAAACUAACAUUAGGAAAAGUUUAAAUCUUGAUUUGAUGAAACUAUUUAUUCGUGGAAUUUAGAGAUACAAAACUCAAAUUGUGACGGUGUUGUUGCUAAAUUAUUAAGGACAUUAUCACCAUUAUUUUUCCCUGAUCACUAGUUUCAACUGCAAUGAUCUCAAUCUUUUUGUGACUAAUUCUUUCCUUAAUAAUUUAUAAAGACAAAACUCACAAAGAAUAUGUGACUAAUUCUUUCCUUUCGUCUUCUAAAGAAAAUGCCAACUGUUAGUUUAUCAAGGGGAAAAAGGAUCGACAUCAGUUAUUAUUGAAACUAGUAAGGAAUAAAUAAUGGUGAUAAUGUCCUUAAUAAUUUAACAACAGCACCAUCAGAAUUUGACUUUGAGCUUCGGUCUUAAACAAUGAUCACAAACUACAGCAUCCUUUGAGUUGAAAAAGGAAGUAGGUGAAAAGAAAAGUAAAAAAUACAAUUAGCAUUCCCUCAAAUUGUAGAAAGUUAGGUAGCAUUAUAGACAAGUUGAUAGCGGCAAUUUUACAUUUCAAACUUCACCUAUUCAAUAACUAAUUCGAUGGCUUGCUACAUGGUCAAUCUUUGGACCCCUUCCUGCCUCCAGAUAUCCCUUUCCUCAAUCAGGGGCUUCUACAAUUACCAGUUUCAAUUGUAUGGUAUAGUGUAAAUAUCAACAAAUUAGAUGUAGAUGCUAACAUAAUAAAUGUGAAUGCUAAGACAGCAACAUACAAUCGAACCUGCAAUUGUAUGAACCCCAAUCUCGCUUCCUAGUCCACCAUCUUUCUCUAGGUAAUAAUCUCCCUUCUAAUUUAUUCACAAAAUGCACCUUUCAUCACCUCCAAUAGCGUCGACAUGAUCUUUACCCUAGAAGACUAUUCACCGACUCUCAAUUGACGUCAGAAAAUCUAAGAGUAAUUCUACUUUACCCUAAGAUUGAUAUCAACAAGACAAGGACAAUUUAGAAUUAUUACACGCCUCUUCUUAAUAGGAAAAAGAAAUAGAGAAGAAAGUCAGGCCAGGUCUAAUUUCUUUUCAAAGGCAAUACAACAUUACGAAAUCAAGCAUUCAUUCAUACAAAUAUUUCAUAGUCACCGGUUUGCUGAGUAGAAAAAUUUAGACAAAAACUUAAUAUUAUAUUGUUUAAGAGUUAACAAUUUAGAGCUUAAUCUCCUUGUACUUUGGAGUUAACAAUUUAGAGCUUAAUCUCCUUGUACUUUGGACUAAACUUGAACGUGAAAGGAAAUCCCAAAACCAUAUUGGGCAUGAAUUCACACUUAAUAUACCCAAUAAAAGAUGGCGACUGGUGAAAGGCAGUGGAGACUGGUGGAGAGAUUUGAGGAAUAGAAGCAGACGGAAAAGCAACAAAUUUUUGCCGAAAAACGGUCACUUUCAUGGUUAAUUUUGCUACUCUCCAAUUGUACUUGACCAAUUACAACAAUUUCAUGGAGUUUGAUACGUGAAAAGAAUUUUUUAUAAAUUUUAUUUUGAUCCAUAAUGUUAUCUUUACAUAUAUAAAACAUUUUACAAUUUUGAUUUUGGCGCAGCUAACUUUUGGUUAACAAAAAUGCUCAUGUUUAAAAAACCAGAAAUAAAACAAAACAAGAAACAAAAGAAAUAAGAGGGUAGCAUAGACAUUUUGGAUUUUUCCGUUAAUUUGGAUGAUUUCCACCCACGUUCUAAUUUAAUCCAAAACACAAAGGAAUUACGUAGAGGUUUUAAAUAAUGAGGGAGCUUCAUGAUCGAACCCCAAACCACAAGGCGAUUUACUAUAUUUUACUCUUAAAUUUUGGUUUCAUCUCAUAGCAUACAAGAGUUCUAUUUCACUAUCUGUAGACAAAGACUUUCUAUGGUUGAUGUACCAUAGGAAAAAAUCUGCCUAUACAACGUGAUAGCAUUUUUUCAAAAACACAAGAUGGAAAAUUGCCCCUUAAACGGGGAAAUUCAUGAUCUUUCGUCGAACAAAGAAUACUCACGCCUAUUCAAGAUGGAAAAUUGCCCCCUUAAACGUCUAUUUGUCAAUUCUUGAAAAAAGAAUACUCACGCCUAAAACACGGCCUCUUCAUCUGCAGAAUUCUAAAAAGUUAGGUAAACUCUAUAAACAAGUUGAUAGGUACAAUCGUACCCAAGAUCAAGUACAGAUAGUUGUACAUUAACUGCUGCAAUAACUAAUCUGAUGACUUAUAAACAUAUCAUGGUCAAUCGUUGAAUGGUAAUGAGUCUUUUGUUAUGCAUUAGUAUUAGUGUGUACACUCUAAUAGAUUGAUACUUAUACUCUUUAAAUUAUCAUAAUAAUACCCUUAAUUAACUUUAACUCUUAAAAAGAAUACAUGUUAAUACACGAGUGUGUGUAACCUGAAUUGUUACUUAUAAAUUAGUGUGUAAUAGAUAGGGAUGGCAAUGGGGGCGGGUGCCCGCGGGGGGCUCUCGGGGCGGGGGUUGGGGCGGGGGGGAAUUUUUUCCCCCCGUUUAGAAAUGGGGCAGGGGACGGGGGAGUAUACCCCCGCCCCAUCCCCCGCAAAAAAAAAAUUAUAUAUAAUAUGUAAUUUAAUUAGUUAUAAACUUAUGAUAAUGAUAUUAUUAGUUAGAUGUAUUAUAUAAUGUAUAUUAGUGUAUGUAAUAUAAUUAAUAUUAUCAAUUAUAUGAAUAAUUAGACAUGUCUACUAAUAGAAUUUAUGAAUUAGUUAUACUAAAUUUACUAAUACAUUUAUACUAAAUUUCUAAUUACACUUAAUAGAAUAACACUUUUUUCUAAAACAAAAAAGCACAAACACAAUAAUGAAUUAGUGAUUGUAUGAUAGGGUGUAAUUUUACUAUUUAUUUUAUUAUUAAUUUCCCCUAUCACCUGACCUGAUGUGGAUUAAUUGCUGGAUUCUGCUCACUUUUAGUACUUUGUAUUUAUUUCAGGGAGUAGAACGGAAAUUUGAUAACAGGUGCUAAUUUGGCAGAAAAAGAGUCCAGAUGAUAGAGCUUGCCCCAAGGGCAUUUUUGGAAAGGAGAACUUGUGCCCAUCUUGGUAAUUUGGGAGAAAAGGGAAACAGACAAAAUGGGUCUAACAUGGAUUGGAAGCGGCCGCACAGUAGCAGGGAAGAGGGCAGACGUAAAAGCAAUUGCAGGGGGGAAAAGGAGUUUUUUUAGUUUUUAGCUUAGCAUCUGAUUUUCCCUGGGAGACUUUUGUUAAAGAUUUCCUUUUGGCUGAUAUUACGCAUGGCAGAUGGCUUUUAACUUAUUCCUCCAUCUUUGACUUUUCUUCUUUAGCUUGUGGCAGUGGAUUGCUACUUACGAAUGUCAGCACUUAGCCAUUCGUGGCUUUUGAUCUUUUCUUCCUUAGAAAUUCUGAGUAACCUCUUUUCCUUUGUGCGCCAGACGAAGUGAAAACUAUAAACUUUUGUAGUUUUUCUAUUCAUUCAAUAUAUUGAGACGAGUUGGAUUCUACCAAAUUUCAACGGACAUGGCCGCUGGUUUCUCUUCAAUUUUAUAUGGGCUUUGUUCAUCCAACAUGAACUAAUUUCACCACUCUAGUCAAGGAGCAACGAAGGCUCUGAUUUGCCUAAAAAUUGUGAGAUCGUUUUAAUUUAAUCUUUUCCUUUUAUUUAUUGGUAUCCGCACAUUUCUUGAUUGCUAUGCUUAUGGUUAUUUAAUUAAUUGAUUGUCUUGGAUCCAGAUAAUUAAUUGAUCUGAUAGCCUAUUGUCAAUUAGGGCAUUUAAAUCCGUAAUUGUUUAAUUGUCCUGAAAUAGUGACAACUGGCACGAUUAGAUUCGUGCCAGGGGGGAUAUGCGGGCUAAUCUAAAAUAACCCUGGUAGUGUGUUAUUUGGUUAGAAUAGGGCUCCUCUAAUACUAAGGCAAUUGGGGAAUUAAAUUCUACGGGCGUACCUAGGAUUAUUUCUUAAUUAGAGCAGUGAUUAACGGGCGUACCUUGAUCACCGACACAGUAAGGAGGGGUUGACCGUCAUCGCUUGUUUGGCAGUUAUAACCUAUUUAUCAGUAAAUAAUUGGGAUUGCCUUGCAUCAAUGAUCAAUUAGGUGAACCAUUGUUGAAGUUACUUCUUGGUUAGAUCUUUAGUUAAUAUUACCUUGAUUUUGGUGAAUUGCCAUUUGAUUUUUAGUUGCCUACUUUAUUUUAUUUUUAAUUGUUUCCUUGCUUUAAUUGAGUUAGGCCUUUAAUUAUUGUUAUUCUAAGUUUAGUGAAUUGUGGUUUAAUUCCUAAUUAGUUAUUUAUUUUUACUUUCUUAUUUGAAUUUAUUUGCUUGUUAUCAUUCCUACGAAAUCACCCCCCUGUGUUACUUUGGAUUUCUUAAGAAACAAAUAUACCCAAUCCCUGUGGAUACGACCCUACUUGCUCUGUUCACGAAUUCAUAAUUAUUUGUGAAAAGAAAUAACCAUUCCACUCGGGUAUAUCGGAUCAAGCAAAUUCUUCGGGAACAGGGUGAAUCAAGUAACCCAAUGCACACCUAGAGUCCCUGCUCCAGUACUUGGAAUUGGGUUUUGGUCAUUUUAACUGGCAAUUAGGUUUAAUUUUAUUAUUGCACAGGCUGACGACCCUGUCAAUUUUUGGCGCCGUUGCCGGGGACUGGCGUUAUUAUUUGUUUCUUUUUAAAUUCAUUCUUUGUCCUAAUUUUCUGGUUUUCUUCUAGUGUAUGCCUCGAUCUUCUCGUACAGGUAAUUUGAUUUUUGACCCUGAGGUAGAGAAGACCGCAUGUAGAACGAGAAAGGAAACCAGACAGCUCAGAGAAGAGCACUCCAGUGCUACAUCUCAGAGACCCGAGUCAGAAGUUGAACUAACAGAUUCGUUUGGUAACACUUCGAGUGACUCUGACCAGGAGGAAGACACCAUGGCUAAUGCACGAACAUUAAGGGAGUUGGCUGCUCCUGAUUUAACUCAGCAGCCUUUAUGCAUUACUUUCCCCACUUUAAAUGAUAACAUUCCAUUUGAACUAAAAUCUGGUCUGAUUCAGCUUUUACCCUCUUUUCAUGGUUUACCAGGUGAAGAGCCGUAUAAGCAUCUGCAGGAGUUUGAUGUCGUGUGUAAUAGUAUGAAACCCUCGGGAAUCACAGAAGAGCAGAUAAAAAUGAGGGCAUUCCUCUUCUCCUUGAAAGAUUCUGCGAAGGACUGGCUGUACUACCUGUCACCAGGUAGCAUCACCACGUGGGACCAAUUGAAGAAAAAAUUUUUGGAUAAAUAUUUUCCUGCGUCCAGGGCUGCAAGUCUAAGGAAAGAAAUUUGUGGGAUCAAGCAGCAUCCAGGGAAGUCACUUUAUGAGUAUUGGGAACGGUAUAAGAACUUGUUGCGCAGGUGCCCCCAACACCAAAUAAGUGAGCAAUUGAUCAUACAGUAUUUUUAUGAGGGGCUCCUUUUUAGAGACAGGAGCAUCAUUGAUGCCAGGGGGGAGGGUUGGGAUGGGUGGUACGGGGGGAGGGAGUGUAAGCAAGAGGUCUCGGGUUCGAGUCCUCCCGCUUACACACAAAAAAAAAGAUGCUGCAAGUGGAGGGGCACUGGUAAACAAAACCCCUCAGGAAGCACGGGAGUUAAUAGAGGGGAUGGCAGAGAAUUCACAACAAUUCAGUACAAGAGAGGAUGUCCCAAUACGUAAGGUGAAUGAGGUAGAGACACCCUCUAUGCAGCAGCAGCUAACUGAGUUGACCGCGUUUGUUAGGCAACUGGCUGUGAGAAAUGCAUCACAAGCCAGGGUGUGCGGGAUUUGCACUGGUAUGGGUCAUUCUGCAGACAUGUGCCCAAUGAUUCAGGAAGAAACUGCAGAACAGGUGAACAUGGCUGACCACGCGCCCGCGCCAAGGAAGCAGUACGACCCUUACUCAAGCACCUACAACCCCGGGUGGAGAGAUCAUCCCAACCUCAGUUAUGGAGAAAAUAGGCAGCCCAACAUUACACCGAACAGGCAGUCUAACUUUGUGCCAAAUAGGCCACCAGGGUACCAGCAGCAAUAUCAACCCCGACCACCUCCGUCCCCAAGCUCUGGCCCAUCUUUGGAGGAGAUGAUGAAACAAAUGAUGACAACUAUGGCUCAAAAUCAGCAAAUGACGGAGGCAACCAUUAUGCAAAAUCAGCAAAGGACGGACUCCGAAAUGAAGGAUAUAAGGAAUCAGAUAAGUCAAAUGGUCACAACAAUCAACCGUUUGGAUUCCCAGAACCAAGGUAAAUUGCCAUUUCAGCCCGAAUUAAAUUCGAAGAACGUGAGCGCAAUGACCCUAAGGAGCGGGAAAGAAAUUCAGGGGUCUGAACCUGUGAUCCCUAAGGAUAAGGAUGAGGAAAAGAUCGAAAAUGAGCUUGAAAGGGAGGACAGCAAUGGUGCAGAUCUAAAGGUACUUCCUGACCCAAUAAUUACAGCUAAAACUAACCCGCCUCCUUUUCCUAGCAGGUUGGAAAAAUCGAAAAAAGAGGAUAAGGAGAAGGAGAUCUUGGAGGUUUUUCGCAAGGUUGAGAUAAAUAUCCCCCUCUUAGACGCAAUCAGACAAGUACCAAAAUAUGCCAAGUUCCUAAGGGACUUGUGUGUCAACCGAAGGCAGUUGAGGGAAGAUGAACGGGUUAUUGUUGGGGAGAAUGUGUCAGCAGUCCUGCAGAGAAAGCUCCCACCAAAGUGCGGGGACCCAGGUAUGUUUACUAUUCCCUGUAGGAUAGGUAAUACUGUGAUAGAAGGGCCAUGUUGGAUCUGGGAGCAUCAAUUAAUCUCAUACCUAAAUCUAUCUAUGCUUCUCUAAAAUUAGGUCCAUUAAAAGAAACUGGAAUAAUCAUUCAAUUAGUUGACCGAACUAAUGCAUAUCCUGAUGGGUUGGUUGAAGAUGUGUUGGUAAAAGUUAAUGAUUUGAUGUUUCCAGCUGAUUUUUAUGUACUUGAUAUGGAUGAUGAUCACUCCCCUGAUCCCUCACCUCUGUUAUUGGGUAGACCCUUUAUGAGCACAGCACAGACGAAAAUUGAUGUUAAUAAGGGUAUCUUGUUCAUGGAGUUUGAUGGGAAAAUUGUGCAUUUCAAUAUCUUUGAUACUAUGAAAUAUCCCUCAAACUCCAACUUUAGCACAGUUUUCUCUGUGAGUGCUAUUGACCCUGUAGUGCAGGAAGUGUUUGAAACUGAUGGCAGGGAUGAGUUGGAGGUGGCUUUGACCAAGCACCUCGAGUUGGAGACAACUCCUGAGGUGGAAUGGAGCGAGGACCUAAAAUGCACAAUAGGUGCAUUACACUCAUUGCAGUCCACCACGAAAAGGUAUGAAGUCUUACCUAUUUUUACUCCCGAACCUCACCAGAGGGUGUUGCCAUCUGUGGUGCAGGCACCUGUACUAGAAUUUAAACCUCUAUCAGAGCACCUGAAAUAUGCAUAUCUGGGUGAUAAUGAGACACUCCCGGUGAUUAUCUCAUCGACACUGUCAAAAAUCCAGGAGGAGAAACUGAUCCGGGUCCUUAGAGAGCAUAAAGAGGCGAUAGGUUGGACAAUCGCAGAUAUUAAGGGGAUCAGCUCGGCCAUCUGUAUGCACCGGAUUAGACUAGAAGAGGAUGCCAAACCUGUUAGGCAGGCUCAAAGGAGGCUCAACCCCCUAAUGAUGGAAGUUGUAAAGAAAGAAAUUUUAAAAUUGCUAGAUGUGGGGAUUAUUUUUGCAAUAUCAGAUAGCCCUUGGGUAAGCCCGAUCCAGGUAGUCCCAAAGAAGGCAGGGGUGACGGUGGAGGCAAACCAAACGGGUGAGCUCGUGCCAGUGCGCAAACCCACUGGAUGGAGGCAGUGUAUAGACUACCGUAGGCUAAACGCCGUCACCAAAAAGGACCAUUUCCCUCUCCCUUUCAUUGACCAAAUGGUUGAACGUUUAGCUUGUAGAGCUUAUUAUUGCUUUUUGGAUGGAUUUUCAGGAUACUUUCAGAUAGCAAUUGCUCCAGAGGAUCAAGAGAAGACAACCUUCACGUGCCCGUUCGGGACCUUUGCUUAUAGACGAAUGCCAUUUGCGUUGUGCAAUGCACCUGCAACAUUCCAGAGGUGUAUGGUAAGUAUUUUUUCUGAAUAUGUGGAGAAAAUUAUUGAAGUUUUCAUGGACGAUUUCAGUGUGUAUGGUGAUAGUUUUGAUACGUGUUUAGAUAAUCUGAAAUUGAUCCUGAUAAGGUGUAUAGAGACUAAUCUUGUGCUUAAUUGGGAAAAAUGUCAUUUUAUGGUUGAGCACGGGAUAGUCCUGGGUCAUAUUGUAUCGUCUAAGGGCAUAGAAGUUGACAAGGCUAAAAUAGAUAUUAUUUUUGCAUUACCUUACCUCGCGAGUGUGCGGAAGGUGCGUUCUUUUCUUGGACAUGCAGGUUUUUAUCGAAUGUUCAUCAAGGAUUUUUCAAAAAUUGGAGCCCCGUUAUUCCAACUCCUACAAAAGGAUGUGACCUUCGAAUUCGAUGAUAAGUGUGAGGAAGCCUUCAACAAGUUGAAAGAAUUGUUGACCUCACCCCCAAUUAUCCAGCCCCCUGAUUGGAGUCUACCAUUUGAGAUCAUGUGCGAUGCCAGUGAUCAUGCCGUAGGGGCUGUAUUGGGGCAAAGAGUAGGGAAGGCAGCUCACGUCAUCUACUAUGCAUCCCGAGCAUUGAAUGGAGCCCAAUUGAAUUACUCCACUACUGAAAAGAAGCUUCUUGCAGUUAUUUUUGCUUUAGAAAAAUUCAGGUCAUAUUUGCUAGGUGCUAAAGUAAUUGUAUUUUCUGACCAUGCAGCAUUAAGGUACCUAAUGACCAAGAAAGAUGCCAAACUGAGGCUCAUUAGGUGGAUAUUGCUACUGCAGGAAUUUGACCUGGAGAUACGGGAUAAAAGGGGCUCAGAGAAUUUAGUAGCUGACCAUCUGAGUCGUAUACCCGUUGGAGAGGAUAAUGAACCAUUGAGGGAUGCGUUCCCUGAAGAGCACUUAUUUUCUUUAAAUUCUCAGUUGCCUUUGUAUGCCGAUCUGGUCAAUUAUUUGGUAACUGGUAAUUUUCCUGCAGGUUGACCAAAAUCGAAGAGGGAUAAAUUGAAGAGCGACGCCAAGUAUUUUAUUUGGGACGACCCGUACCUAUGGAAGAGGUGUGCAGAUCAAGUGAUGCGGAGAUGUGUAAGUGAAAUGGAAUUUCAAUCGAUUUUAGCUUUUUGUCAUACUUUUGCCUGUGGAGGUCAUUUGGACCCAAGAGAACUGCUCAUAAGGUUUUAGAAAGUGGAUUUUAUUGGCCUUCAUUGUUUAAGGAUGCCUAUGUGUUUUGUAAGUCAUGUGAUCGCUGUCAAAGGGUAGGUAAUAUACCCCGUAGAGAUCAAAUGCCCCAAGUCCCGUUGAUUUUUAUUGAAAUUUUUGAUGUCUGGGGUAUAGAUUUCAUGGGGUCUUUUCCUACUUCAUUUGGUUUUUUAUAUAUUUUGCUGGCAGUUGAUUAUGUGUCUAAAUGGGUGGAGGCUAAGGCCACUCGAACUAAUGACUCGAAAGUAGUUGCAAAUUUUGUCAGGUCUAAUAUUUUUGUGCGAUUUGGAAUGCCUAGUGCUAUUGUCAGUGAUAGGGGAACGCACUUUUGCAACAAAAUCAUAGCUGCGUUGUUUCGCAAGUAUGGUGUACUCCAAUGGGUCUCAACGUCGUACCACCCUCAGACCAAUGGUCAAGCGGAGGUGUCGAAUCGAGAGAUCAAGUCUAUCUUGGAGAAAAUGGUGCGCCCCGAUAGGAAAGACUCGAGUCAAAGGCUGGAGGACGCACUUUGGGCCUAUCGGACGGCGUACAAGACUCCUAUAGGGAUGUCACCGUACAGGUUGGUAUUUGGGAAGCCGUGUCACCUUCCAGUGGAGUUUGAGCACAAAGCUUUUUGGGCGAUAAAGUAAUGCAACAUGAAUUUAGAGGAAGCCGGUGCCCAACGAAAGUUGGAUUUGCAAGAAUUAGAAGAGAUCCGGAACGAGGCUUACGAAAAUGCACUAAUUUAUAAGGAGAGAAGCCGGAUAUUUCAUGAUCAACAAAUUUCAAGAAAAUCCUUUGAAGUUGGUCAGAAGGUCCUACUAUACCAAUCCAGGCUCAAGCUAUUCCCAGGUAAACUACGUUCCCGUUGGAUUGGACCUUUUCUUGUUACUCAUGUUUUUCCAUAUGGUGCAGUUGAAAUCCGGAGCGCUAAAACAGACAACAAAUUUGUGGUGAAUGGACACCGUCUCAAGCAUUACUACGAAGGAUUUUCAGGUGAAAAGGUGGAGACAAUAAGUCUAGACGCGCCACCGUGUCCUAAUCAGUGACAUUUUACUAUGUCUAGCCAAAGACAUUAAAGACAGGCGCUCAUUGGGAGGCAACCCAAUUGUCCCUUUUAAUUAUUUGUUUGAUUUCGUGUGAUAGUUUAAAUAUGUUUUCCUUGAAUUCGACUGAUUUUGGGUUUCAGUUUUCGUUUUUGCUGAAUUGUAGGUGACCUUCAGUCUUGACGCGCCCGCGUGAUGACAUGCAGGAAGCUCACGAUCAGAAUCGUCUGAAAGCUCUCUUGCCCUUUUGACGCACCCGCGUGAUGACGUGCAGGAAGCUCACGAUCAGAAUCGUCUGAAAGCUCUCUUGCCCUCUUGACGUGCCCGCGUCACGUUCGCAGGAAAGGUACGGGUUUCAAAAAUUUAAAGAAAAAAUAAUAAUAAUAAUAAUUUAAAAUUUUGAAAUUAACUUCCGUAAAAAAAAAAAAGAAGAAAAAAAAUUUCACCGUGGCUUAAAUAGAGCCUAAAGAAGAGAAAAAAGAAACAAUUUCUUUCUUUUUUUUUUCUUUUUCUUCUUUCUUCCUUCUUUCUUUCUUUCUUCUUUCUCUUUUCCCUCUCUCUUCUCCCCUGUUUCUUCUCCCCUGUCCGUCGCCCGUGCGCCCCAUCGCUGCUCCACCUCCACACGCACGCCGACGCUGCGAGCCACCUGCGACCCCAGCGCCAGAUCUGGACCAUCGCCGAAACCCGCAGCCUCCGCCACCUCCACCUGAGCUCUGCCUCGCGCGCAACCCAGCUGCUCUGCGCCCGAAGCUCCACCGCCGCCACAGCCUCCCCACGCAGCUCCCUGCUCACGCGGCCACAAGCCCAUUGGAAACGGGACAGAGACUGCCGCCGAGCCACUUGCCCGCGUGACCGCCGCUGUUUUCCACCACCUCCCUCACGCGAGCUCUUUCCCUCUCAGCAGCAAUCCACUUCACAGCGCACCCGCUGCGCGCCGUCGCAGCCCUCGCAGCUCCAGCCCGUCUGGUCUAGUCCGCCGCGCGCACCAACCACCCACGGACGCUACCCCCAUCGCUAACCCACGCGGCCUCCACUCCAGUCUGUCCGCCGCCGCUGCUCGUGUCUCCCUUGCGCACCUCACGCCACCCGCUACUGUCCCCUUCCGUUUGGUUAGCAUCCACGGUGGAGGUAAUUGGAGGUUAUUUUCUCAAUUGUGUGACUUCCGCCUGUGAUACUGGUUGCAUUAUUUUUGCUGGGAAUUGCUACUUCUUUUGGGUUGGGUUCAACUGUGCAAUUAAUUGGCCAACUGGAGCCAUUUGUUGGGAUUUUGGGUGAGCUGAAAUACUGCAUUUGUGUGUUACAUUGGGAGGUUUAUUGGGUACAUUCUAACCGCUGUUUUCCAUUGUUACUCUCGCUGGGGUGUCUAUUAAAUUGCGAUUGAAGUAUUUUGGAUAUUGCAUGUUGAGAUUGAGGUUUCAUUGAAUUUGGCCUACGUUCUGCCCCCAGUGGUACUGGUGGGAAUAUUUUCAAUUGAAUUUGUUACCUCUAGUUGGUUGGCUACAUUAUUAUGGUCGAAUUCCUAAGUUGUCGUCAUUGCAUUUGUUGAUCUUGAUUUGGGGCAUUAACCGGCCAACUGGAGCCAUCUGUGCGUUUUUAGGCGCUAUUAUUGGUUUCUUCUCCCUUAACUUUGUCAACUAUAUUUGGUUGGGUAUUUGGUUGACUGCCACGGACUUGUAACUGUGUUUUGCUUCUAAUUGACCAGUUGCACAGCAGUUUUUUUUUAAUUGAUAGGGUGGUUAUACCUCUGGAUAUUUGUAUCCACUGGUUUGAGGACAUGGUGAGACCAAAAUCCUCCUCUAGGUCUAGGACCCCUAGAACCUCGCAAUCCCAACCCCAAGCCUCUACUCUAGUCAAUACCCCUAUAAAUCAACCUACUGCUCCCGGUGUCCGAACCUGGUUAGGUAGGGGUAGAGGUGCCCACGUGGCUUCCGCCACUCACUUGGGAGGGCAUUUGGAAUUCACUAGAGCCGCCGAUCAGCGACGCUAUGCUCAAGCUUGUGAGCGGCGUAUCAUUCCGUGCAAAUGCGCGGACCACAUUACUAUGGUUUUUCUGGGGAUCCAAGGGGAGGUUGAGCGCAUGUACACCGCCAUUGGAUGGCGCCCCUAUCUGGAUAUUUUCCAGCCAGCCUUUGUCGAGUUGACUAGAGAGUUUUACACCACUUUUAAGUUUGAAUUACCGACUAGGUAUACUGUUGCGACUCCCGAUAUCAUUCACUUCCGUCUCAUGGGCCAGGAAUUCAAUUUCUCUAUCACCCAGUUCAAUCUGGCUUUCGGUUUCAUCACUCGGGAGUAUGCAGAGACUAGGGAAUACGGUGAGAGUGCCUGCGAUUUUGUGGAACCUUUCCUUACCGCCUACCGUGAGGUGUGGGAGGACAUGUCUGUGGACAUGCAGCGUUACGAUCCCUCUCGGUCUCGGAGCUCCUUUCUAGAGGACCCGAGUGCUCGGUAUGUUCAGCGGCUUUUAGCAUAUAGCUACUCGGGCAGAAAGAACAGCUUCGGUAUUAUCUCUCGGCCGGAGCUCUUCUUCCUUUGGUGUAUGAAGAAUGGGUUCAAGGUCAAUUUGGGUUGUUGGUUGGCGGCACAGUUCAAGACCGUCAUGGCAAAGAAGAACAAGCCGUUGAUUCUUGGGUCGUAUAUCACGUACUUGGCGGUCCAGCUAGGCGUUCUGAAUCUACAGGAUCACGAUUUGCACUUGGCCUGCGACAUGGAGUAUCUCACUGCUGACCGGCUAGAGAAGAUGGGGGUUCUGGAGCUUGUCGAUGGCCACUACCGAUUUGUGCCCCCGGGACCGCCCCGCGCCCCGCCUCGCUCUUCCUCCACCCAUUCGGCCCCAGUUGGCGGUGAUCCUGGCCCGUCGACAUCCGCUCAGCUCCCUCCACCAGCAGGGGCUGAAGAUUGGCACCAAAUCAGGACGCAGAUUCAGAAUUUGGACGCCCGGAUGAUUAGCAUCGAGAGCAACGUGGCGGCUAUAUCACAGAAUCUGGCGGCAUUCCUGCAGCACUCGGGUUUCCCGCCCCCAAUCCCACCUCACCCUCCACUAUGACCCGGUUUCAGGGAAGUUUGGUUACUUUCUCCCUCACUUUUGUUGUUUUUUGACACAUUGAGGACAAUGUGUCCUAUAGGUGUGGGGGGGUCUAUAGUCUUUCUAGUUUUUAGUAGUUGUUAGUUUUUAGUUUUUUAGUAGUUUUAGUUUUAUUUCUAGUUGCGUAUUUUCUUUCUUUUCUUAGUGCUUAUUCCCCAUGUGAAAAGAAAAAGAAAACAAAAAAAAAGAGAAAAAAAUGUUGGUUUAUUGACUCUAACUCUACUUUUGCCAAGUUUUUUUUAAAUAAAAAUGUAUCGGGUUAAUGUGGUUGGAUCCAGAAUAUCUCCCUGGUGAAUAUCGGAUUGCUUGGCUCUUUUGAUUUCUGUGUUAAUUUCUCUAGGCAUAGGGAAUGACUGUUGGCAUUUUAAUGUGAACUGGUCCAAUAUUGACUCCAGUUCUCUAUGUUUGGCAAUAAUGAGGCGAGCUGUUCCUAUUUUUGGUUCUUAGUGUUGUUAUUAUGUGUUUUUGGCUUUGUUUGGCUGUGAAUAAUCUGGACUGUACUCCGCUAUGAGUUACUACUGAGUAACCGAGGAUCGGCACCUAAAAGUGUCGAUUCUCGCGUCAAAAGGUGGUACUUUAUAUGAGUACGUGGUCGUAUAGCAGUAGGAGCUGAGUAACCGGGCUCCUUCAUCUAAAAAUGUUGGAGUUCGCGUCAAAAGGCCCCGACGGCUAACGACUAAGUCUUUUUGUGUUAAUUAUUAUUGCUUUGAAAAACAAAAAAAAAAAAGAACGAAAAAAGAGAGAAUAAAUAAUAGGAAGGCUUGCCGGUUUAUGGACUUAAUAUGGAGACUUGUGUGAAUAUUUGGACCAUUAGCUAAUAAAUGUUGUGCGCCAUUCCCUUUUCUUAGAGUAGUUAACCUGGAAAUUGAAGGAAUUUGCAGUUUAGGGGCUAACCGGGGGGGAGGCUUCUUGGAUUUUAAUCACCAAUGCUCGAUAUAUGUUUUUCUCUUGAAGAUCUUGGCAAUAUAGGAGAUUGGACAAUGGCCAUCAUCGAAUUUUGGUGUUCGUUUACUAUUCUUAUGCUUGAGGACAAGCAUGGUUUAGGUGUAGGGGGAAUUGAUAGGGUGUAAUUUUACUAUUUAUUUUAUUAUUAAUUUCUCCUAUCACCUGACCUGAUGUGGAUUAAUUGCUGGAUUCUGCUCACUUUUAGUACUUUGUAUUUAUUUCAGGGAGUAGAACGGAAAUUUGAUAACAGGUGCUAAUUUGGCAGAAAAAAGUCCAGAUGAUAGAGCUUGCCCCAAGGGCAUUUUUGGAAAGGAGAACUUGUGCCCAUCUUGGUAAUUUGGGAGAAAAGGGAAACAGACAAAAUGGGUCUAACAUGGAUUGGAAGCGGCCGCACAGUAGCAGGGAAGAGGGCAGACGUAAAAGCAAUUGCAGGGGGGAAAAGGAGUUUUUUUAGUUUUUAGCUUAGCAUCUGAUUUUCCCUGGGAGACUUUUGUUAAAGAUUUCCUUUUGGCUGAUAUUACGCAUGGCAGAUGGCUUUUAACUUAUUCCUCCAUCUUUGACUUUUCUUCUUUAGCUUGUAGUAGUGGAUUGCUACUUACGAAUGUCAGCACUUAGCCAUUCGUGGCUUUUGAUCUUUUCUUCCUUAGAAAUUCUGAGUAGCCUCUUUUCCUUUGUGCGCCAGACGAAGUGAAAACUAUAAACUUUUGUAGUGUUUCUAUUCAUUCAAUAUAUUGAGACGAGUUGGAUUCUACCAAAUUUCAAUGGACAUGGCCGCUGGUUUCUCUUCAAUUUUAUAUGGGCUUUGUUCAUCGAACAUGAACUAAUUUCACCACUCUAGUCAAGGAACAACGAAGACUCUGGUUCGCCUAAAAAUUGUGAGAUCGUUUUAAUUUAAUCUUUUCCUUUUAUUUAUUGGUAUCCGCACAUUUCUUGAUUGCUAUGCUUAUGGUUAUUUAAUUAAUUGAUUGUCUUGGAUCCAGAUAAUUAAUUGAUCUGAUAGCCUAUUGUCAAUUAGGGCAUUUAAAUCCGUAAUUGUUUAAUUGUCCUGAAAUAGUGACAACUGGCACGAUUAGAUUCGUGCCAGGGGGGAUAUGCGGGCUAAUCUAAAAUAACCCUGGUAGUGUGUUAUUUGGUUAGAAUAGGGCUCCUCUAAUAUGUAAGGCAAUUGGGGAAUUAAAUUCUACGGGCGUACCUAGAAUUAUUUCUUAAUUAGAGUAGUGAUUAACGGGCGUACCUUGAUCACCGACACAGUAAGGAGGGGUUGACUGCCAUCGCUUGUUUGGCAGUUAUAACAUAUUUAUCAGUAAAUAAUUGGGAUUGCCUUGCAUCAAUGAUCAAUUAGAUGAACUAUUGCUGAAGUUACUUCUUGGCUAGAUCUUUAGUUAAUAUUACCUUGAUUUUGGUGAAUUGCCAUUUGAUUUUUAGUUGCCUACUUUAUUUUAUUUUUAAUUGUUUCCUUGCUUUAAUUGAGUUAGGCCUUUAAUUAUUGUUAUUCUAAGUUUAGUGAAUUGUGGUUUAAUUCCUAAUUAGUUAUUUAUUUUUACUUUCUUAUUUGAAUUUAUUUGCUUGUUAUCAUUCCUACGAAAUCACCCCCCUGUGUUACUUUGGAUUUCUUAAGAAACAAAUAUACCCAGUCCCUGUGGAUACGACCCUACUUGCCCUGUCCACGAAUUCAUAAUUAUUUGUGAAAAGAAAUAACCAUUCCACUCGGGUAUAUCGGAUCAAGCAAACUCUUCGGGAACAGGGUGAAUCAAGUAACCCAUUGCACACCUAAAAUCCCUGCUCCAGUACUUGGAAUUGGGUUUUGGUCAUUUUAACUGGCAAUUAAGUUUAAUUUUAUUAUUGCACAGGCUGACGACCCUGUCAUUGUAUUUGUACCAAAAGUGAAAACUUAACUAUUUUAGUUGUAUUUAUUUCAUCAUGUUGGAUUGUAUUCAAAUAAUUUUUGUUUGAUUGUUUUUAUAAGUUUCAAUUGUAAAAUUAAAAUGAAUAAUAACUUGAUGAUGUGUUGAUAUUUUAGUACUUGAUUAUUUAUUAAAAUUUAAUUAUAAUAAAAUUUUAUUAACUCAACGAGAAAAAUUUUAUUAAUCCCGUGGGGGCACCCGCGGGGAAAGCGGGGCGGGGCGAGGGGAGUGGGAGGCGGAGGACGGGGCGGGGGCGGGGGAUGGGGGAGGGGUCCCCCGCCCCAACCCCGCCAUCCCCCGUCCCGUUGUCAUCCCUAGUAAUAGACUGGCAAGCAUUGUGGUGGUCAUUGAGCAACUUAUAGGAGAAAUAGUCCUAUAAGCUGUUCAAUGACCAAUCACAACUUGCUAAUUGGAUGACUAAUAUAGCUCUAGCUGUAAUGUUUUAAUUAAAUUACAUCACUAACGUUGGGAUGACUUUUUAACCAAAAAAAAAAAGCCUUAGUUCAAGCUUUUCCCUUUAUUGUGCAUUUUUUAAAGCAUUUGAAAGGCACUGCAAAUCUGUCAUUUUGGACAUUUUAUUAUUGACUAACAAUGAAAGCCGUGGACGUCUACCCAUAACCAACACAAGAUUAAAUUAAUAUUAGAAAAAAUAAUUGAGUAAUUGGAAAAAAAAAAAAAAGAAGAGUCUAAUUUUCAUUGAAACCCACCGACAAACUAUACGUGUCCAUGGCUUUUGAAUAGUGCAUUCAACGUUUAAUUGUAUGGUCCAGUUCAUUGCAGAUUACAUGGAGUAAAGAUUGCGCUCUUUCCUUUUCACCCCUUUUGGAAUCGAUACUGUGGAGAAUUGGGUUUUUCCCUCCUUUUUUUCUUUUCUUUCCUUCUGUGGUUUGCAAAACAUACGUAAAAAUAUGAAAUCCGAAGCAUUCUUUAAUUGGUAUUAAGUAUUGUUGUUGAAAUUAAAAAGAAAAAAGAAAGAACAACAAAAUUCCCAAUCUGGGUUGAUUGUUGAGCUCUAGAUUGGUUGCAUCGUGCUUCCAUAGAAGCAAGAUUUGUAAAAUCGGAAUCCUACAUAGGAUCGAUUUUAGUUUCACAGGAUCGGAUUGUAAAAUCGUAAGAUCCUACCAAAAGCUCUCAAUUGCAAUUAAAGGUUGCAAUUCUUUAAUAAAUUACAAAUAUACCACAAAUAUUUUCAUUUACUUGCAAAAUGGAGCUUCGUAUUUCACAAAUUUACAAAAAAAUUGUAGGAUCGUACGAUCCUACCGAUCCUACGAUCCUACACGAUCCUACCGAUCCUGCUACGAUUCUAUGCGAUCCUACAAAGAUUAAUAUGAUUUGCGACUCUGCAUACGAUCCGGAUCGAUUUUGGUUAUCCGGAUCGUAGGAUCGUAUGAUCCUACGAUCCGGAUCGCGAUUUUGACAACUAUGCAUAGAAGCUCUCUUAGUGUGAUACACUGCUUUCAAUCAGUUUAACACGGGAAAAAAAAAAAGAGAUGAAAAGCAAAUUUGGUGGAGAUAAUUUCAGAAACCUCCCCUGAAGAUUUUGACUAUUCUACUGGUUUCCCUUCAGAUUUUAAAAAUUACACUAAUCUUCCUUGAAGUUAAUUAUCUUGUAACAUUUAAAUUCAAUCAAUAAUUUAAAAAAUGAUAUUAUGAGAGAGAAAAUAAUAUGAUUUUAUCAUUGCCCCCCAUCUUACUACAUUAUUUAAUUAAUUUAAUAGCAACCCACACAUUAAAGAAAAAUAUUAAAAUUUGUUGUUUAUCAUUAAAGAUCAAAUCGCUUAUAACAUCAAAUAAUAGUAUAUUAUUUAUAUUUUUCACUUAAUAUAAUAUCCAAAUUACUCUUUUCAAUUACAUACCCAUUGUUAGAGAAUCAACAACAAAUAACCAAAAAAUUUGCAACCAAAAUAUUACAAAAAAAAUAAACUUUAACAUCAUAAAUAUUCUUAUCAACAUAUUAAAGUUAGUUACUGAAAUUUUUAUGCUGUUAAACUUCACUCUUUUUGAAUACAGAUUUUUUUGAUUAUUUGUUAUUAAUUAUGUUUGAUGAUGGGUUUAUAAUUGAAAAGAACAAUUUGAAACUUACAUUAAGUAAAAUAUAUAGAGUGAUAUACUAUUUUUUAUAACAUAUGUGAUUCAAUCCUUCUUGAUAGGAUUGGUAAUAGAGGUAGAGGGGGGAGUCGGCUGCAUCCGGUCUUCUUUUCAUAGAUAGUACAAUAUUGCGAAAUCAAUCGCAUUCACACAAUAAUAUUUCGAAGUCAAUGCAUGGCUAAGUUGCAUAAAAGUACGAACACUUGUUAUUAUAUAGCUUAAGAUUCAAAACUUUCGAGCAUAACCCUCCACCCAACACAAUUGAAUAAUGAAUAUUCACGAUUGUCAAAUCUGUCAAAGCACAGUUUGAGGACAACCCAUUCCAACCUGCAAAAGAUUUUUUACUUUUCUAAAGUUGUUGAGAGCUGUAAAAAGACUUACCAUGCUUGCAUCCUCCGAGCCUUGGGAGUUAAAAAUGAAGGCACUGAGUGCUAUAAAAAGGGGAAUAGAGGCUGCCUAGAAGCAUAUCAGCCUAAAACAAGAAUUUGUAGUUAAGAUGGGAAGCAAAGCAAAAGCAAUGGGGUCUGGGCUGACUCCUCUUCUUGCCACUGUUUUAGUGGUGUUUGUUGCUCUUGGCUUGCCCUCACAAACUGCAGCUGAUGAUCACUACAAGUAUUCAUCUCCUCCUCCUCCUUACCACUAUCCCUCACCACCACCACCAGUGCAUAUACCUCCACCUCAUCCUGUUUACAAGUACAAAUCUCCACCACCCCCACCACCACACCCAGUUUACAAGUAUAAGUCACCACCACCACCUCCUCAUCCGGUAUACAAGUAUAAGUCUCCUCCGCCACCACCACACCCAGUUUACAAGUACAAGUCACCACCACCACCUCCUCAUCCGGUACCACACCCAGUUUACAAGUAUAAGUCACCUCCACCACCUCCUCAUCCGGUACCCACAGUUUACAAGUAUAAGUCACCACCACCACCUCCUCAUCCGGUAUACAAGUAUAAGUCUCCUCCGCCACCACCACACCCAGUUUACAAGUAUAAGUCACCACCACCACCUCCUCAUCCGGUGCCACACCCAGUUUACCACUACAAGUCACCACCACCACCUCCUCAUCCGGUACCACACCCAGUUUACCACUACAAGUCACCACCACCUCCUCACCCAGUUUACAAAUACGAGUCUCCACCACCACCAGUUUAUAAGUACAAGUCACCACCACCUCCUCCACCAGUUUACAAGUAUAAAUCUCCUCCACCACCACCACCAGUUUACCACUACAAGUCUCCACCACCUCCUCCCCCAGUUUACAAAUACAAGUCUCCACCACCUCCUCACCACUACUAAGCAAUUGCUUCUGAGGUAAUAACACUUGUUCAAUAUACCCACUUCUGCAUGAUAAAGCAUAUCUCUAUCAACACAAACUGUCAUGUCUAUCAUGCUAAGUGCCUUCACUUCAUCCACCAAAAUGACUGCUAGAAAAUUUUUUUUAUGUUACCAAAGAAAGGCAUCAUUUUUUCCCUCUGUUAUCAAGAACUUGUACAGUAUAUAGAUUAAAGAGUAUUUUUUUAACUAGCUUAUCAACUGAGAAAUGCAUAUAGCUGAUAGCCAGCUGAAUAUUUGCAGGCAAAGGAGAAGGAAACCAUGUUUGAGACCUUCUUGAAGAUGUAGAAGCAUAAGAAUAAAAGCCCAAUGUGAAGAUGAUGAUUUCAAGUUUUUCUACGUUACCAUUUCUUUAUCUAAAUUGGUUGUAGCGCCCAAGUUCCUUUGUUUAUGGGAUUUGUAUCGUUUUACGUACCAUGCAGUACAUGUCAUGUUUGUAAGGUUUUCUAUCCUGCCGGCAAACCGCAGGUUCCAUGUGAUAAAUGAAUACUAUUUAUGUUACGACACUUUUCUCUGUUUCUCUUAUAUUUUGUCUUUAAUAUUCUUAAUCAUAUUUUUAACAAAAAUAUUCAAACACUUAGGCAAUCUGGUCUAAUGCUAAUUGUAUGUUUUACUUUUCUUUUUCACCUGCUCCCCUUUUCAACUCAAAAGGAUGCAAUAGUUUGUGAUCACUGUUUAAGACGGAAGCAUGAUACUAAUGAAUAUCUCAUUGAAACUCAAGGAAACUAACAUUGCGAAAAGUGUAAAUCUUGAUUUGAUGCAACUAUUUAUUCGUGGAAUCUAUAGUUACAAAACUCAAAUUCUGACUGCGCCAUUGAUAAAUUAUUAAUGACGCUAUCAUCAUUAUUUAUCCCUAACUAGUUUCGACUACAACUGAACCCAAUAUUUUCCCCAUGAUAAAAGUUUUUGACUAUUUUACUGGCCUCUCUUCAAAUUUUAAAAAUUACACUAAUCUUCAUUGAGAUUAAUUAUCUUGUAACAUUUAAGUCCAAUUAAUAAUUAAAAAAUGAUAUUAUGAGAGAGAAAAUAAUAUAAUUUUAUCAUUGCCCCCCAUCUUGCUAUAUUAUUUAAUUAAUUUAAUAGCAACCCACACAUUAAAGAAAAAUACUAAAAUUUGCUGCUUUUCAUUAAAGAUCAAAUUGCAUAUGCCAUAAAACAUAGUAUAUCAUUCUAUAUGUUUCACUUAAUGUAAGAUCCCAAUUGUUCUUUUCAAUUACAAACCCAUUGUCAAACAUGAUCAAUAACAAAUAAUCAAAAAAUUUGCAACCAAAAUAUUACAAAAAAAAACUUUAACAUCAUAAAUAUUCUUACCACCUCUAGUGCAUUCACCCUCAUAAAAUAAUUCAAGACCCUACUGUCAUAAAAUGACUGAUCAACUCCUGUAAACCUAAUUUGACAACAUUUAAAUGGAGAACUUUAGCUAAAAGAAUUAUGGUCAAGCUAAAGAAAAAACCAGUUAUUUUCCAACAUAUGCAACCAUUGAUCAGGGGAAAAAAAAAAGCAAAAAGACAUCUUCAAUCAUUUAAUAGCUUACAGGGCAAAUUAACCCUUGAGUGAAAACUGGUUGCUCUAGAAUUAAAAUUUUACCUUAGUUACCCAGGCAACUUUUUUGUUGCCUUUUCUUUUUCUUUUUUGGGUAUAUAGCUCCAGUUUUGCCCCCUCUGUCAAGCUUAUAUAAUUAUUAAGAUAAUAAAAGUGCCUUUAAUAGUAUUAAUAUAUCCAUUGACUUGAGCUGUCAUCGAUCGGUUUGGGCUACUUCGAUUCCAUGAGAACAAAUGGUAAUAAAAGUACUCAGAAAAUGGGGAGUCAUGAAACCCUUUUGUUCUAUUCAUUGCUAAGAUGCUUUUCUCUAUAAAGAGACUUCCUAACGAAAAUACUUUGUAGAUUUCUUUACUCCAAGUGGUGCAUGGAAAAUUAAUAUUUUCAAUUAUCAAAUAAAAUUCCCUUUUUUCGGCGUAGAUUUCAUCCAUCCAGCUGUUAACACAUUCUAUAAAUCCGAAUUGACUAAUCUUUUCGUUUCCAUUUUCCAACUUGCGAAUACGGCAUAUAGUGUCUGCUAAACACUAUAUAUUCUCUGCCAAAUAUGAAUACAUAUCACUUUUCUGAGCAAGUGCAGAGUCAUUAUCAUUUUUAUUCCCACCUAACAAAUUAGGGAUAAAAAAGUUAAUAAUCUUUACAUGCUAUCAGGUCACAAGUUAAUAAUCUUUUAAAGAACAUGUUAAAUUAAUUUAUUGGUAUGAAUAGUAGUCAAAGAAGUAUGUUAAAGUUAGUAAUCUUUAAAAUAAUAUGUUAAAAUCAUUCGUACAAAUUAGUCAGAGAAGUAGCAUAAACACCGCGAUGCAAUUAAUACUUUCAAUCUCAAGGUCUCUAUUAUGGAAAUUUGCAUCGGUCAAUAUACACUUGGCAUAAUAUAAUCUCCCAACUCAUUUCUUUACAAAUGCACCUUUAAUCACCACCAAAAGGUGUGGACAUGAUCUUUACCCUAGAAAACUAUUCACCGACAGGCAAAUUGACGUCAGAAAUACUGAGGAAUUCUAGUUUCCUUCGGGUUCAUGCCAUGUUGUAUCCUUCAACUGUAACUCGAUUUCUAAGCUGUAAUUUGUGACAUAAUAGUCCUUAAACUAUGAAACCCUUCUUACUUAAUUACAAUGGUUAAUACAAUGCCCGUGACUAGACAAGUAUGAAGCAACCAUAACAGAAAAAAAAUCCAAAAUUAGAGAAAAGAAAGAAGUUUCGCGACCACCACCAGUUUACAAGUCACCUCCACCACCUCCUCCAGUUUACAAGUCACCUCCACCACCUUACCAUUAUUCCUCACCACCACCUCCAGUGCAUUCACCCCCACCACCACCAGUUUACAAGUCUCCGCCACCACCUUACCAUUAUUCCUCACCACCACCUCCUGUGCAUGCACCUCCACCACCAAUUUACAAGUCACCUCCUCCAGUUUACAAGUCUCCACCACCACCUUACGAUUAUUCCUCACCACCACCUCCAGUGCAUUCACCCCCACCACCACCAAUUUAUAAGUCUCCCCCACCGCCUCCCCCAGUAUAUAAGUCACCACCACCACCUCCUCCAGUAUACAAAUCACCUCCACCACCUCCUCCAGUUGACAAAUCUCCACCACCACCAAUUUAUAAAUACAAGUCUCCUCCACUACCUCCUCCAGUGUACAAGUCAUCACCACCACCUGCUUACAAGUCUCCACCUCCUCCAGUUUACAGUUCCCCACCACCACCAAUCUACAAGUCUCCACCUCCACCCUACCAUUACUACUACAAUUCUCCUCCUCCUCCUCGUCACUACUAAGCAAUUGUAUCCAAGUUUUUGAGGUAAUAACGCUUAACCAAUAAAUUAACUUUCGCAUGAUAAACCUUAUCUCUAUCAAGACAAACUGCCAUGUGUAUCAUGCCAAAUACGUACACCUAGAUCCAUGAAAAUGAAUGGUAGAAAGUUUUCUUAAGAACCAAGAACAGCAUUAGUAUUCCCUCUGCUUCCAAAAACUUGUGUAUUAAAUAGAUUAAUGAAUUGUUUAACAUGCUCAUCUACUUGAAAAUGCACAAUACCCAUAACCCACUGAAAUUUUUGCAGGAAAAGGGAAAGAGAAUCUGUGUUUGAGAGCUUCAUGAAGAUGUUGAAGAAUAAGAAUAAAAGCCCAAUGCAAGGAUGUUUUCAAGUUUUUCUAUGUUUCCACUUUAAUUUGUAAAUUGAAUUUUGCGACUCAAUUAAUUCCCUGUUUGUGAGGUACGUAUUGUUUUACGUACCAUGCCGUACAUUUUUUUUUUCCAACAAACGGUAUCAUGUUAUAGAUAUUAACACUUGACCUUACAAGGAUUAGUUACAAAAAGGGGAUACUACCCUCAACUCUGUCCUAGCUAAAUCAGUCAGCCAUAUUGGGAAAUUAGUUUCCCAUUCAAUAUCAUGUACAAGCUUCACAGCAUAUUGUGCUAAUUGAUGGCUGAUGUGAUUUUCAGUUCUAGGUAUAAACACAAAAGAACAUUUUUCAAAAGCUAGACUAAGUUCCUGCACAUCUUCUAAGAUAGUUGCAGUCGUGUAGUCAUACUCCUUGCGUUUAGUAAUCUGCUCUACCACUGAUUUGCAGUCUGUAUGGACUAUAAUUUGUGUCCAACCUGCUUGGGUAGCCAUCAGCAGAGCAUUUCUCACAGCCCGAGCUUCCACUUCACUUGCCGAUCCCUUUCCCUGUGUGACAAUUCCUUUUGCUUUCAAAAGCUGUCCUUUCCAAUUUCUUGCUAUAAUCCCUUGUCCGGUCCUGACUCGUUUAGCUGAUAUCGCUGCAUCGGUAUACAGCCUUAUCUCUUCCUUCCUUGGCCGCACUCUCCUGGUAGGUAAGGCAUCAUUCAGCUUCCCUGCGAUCUCCUUCUGGUCUGUACUCCCUACCUGUUCAAACUCAAGCCAUUCCUCCUGUGCUUUCCUUACUAUUUUUACUGGAUCCUGGUUGGCUUGUUCAAAAAAUUUUUUGUUCCUGGCUUUCCAAAUUUGCCAAAGGAUAUUGAUAGUAAGACUAACUCUCUCCUGACCUUGGUUCAGUGCCAGCGAUUGUGUGACUUGUUCCCACCAUAACCAAAAGUUAUAUUGCAUACCCAGUAAUCCAUCCCACCUGACCGGUGCUAGCUUCCACGUUUCCACAGCCUUUUCACAGAAGAAAAACAAAUGCUCAAUAGUUUCCAUAUCUUCACCACAGCAACCACAUCUGCCUUCCCCUCUAUGUAGCCUUUUCGACAUCUGUUCAUUGACUGGCAGACAAUUUUGUAAGCACUUCCACAUGAAGUGUUUUAGUUUGGCCUUCACCUUCAAAUGCCAUAGCUGCUUCCACACAUUUCGUUUUCGUAUCUCCCAACUUGUUUCUGCCUCUUGGCCUGUCCUUGUACCUGCUUUUCCUUCCCGUUGCCUUGCUAAAGCAUAACCAGAUUUCACGCUAUAAAUUCCAGCUUUGGAAUGCCCCCAUACCAACCUAUCCUUUCUUCUUCCUAUACUUGUUGGAAUUCCCUUUAUGUGCUCUGCAUCUUUUGCACAAAACCACUUGAGAAGCAAAUCAUUUUUCCAUUUCCCUUCCUCUAUCAGCUCACUUACCCAUUCCAACUUGCAUCCCACAGGUUGUGUGGUUGAUGCAAAGCCGGUAUCUGAACCAACUAUCCAUCUGUCCCGCCACAUGUUGACUGACUUGCCAUCUCCAAUUCUUUUCCAAAGACCAUCAUACAGAAAGGAGGCUGCACUAUGAAUACUCUUCCAACACCAUGAGGCUGAAGAGACUGGCUUCUUGUCCAUCCAUUUUUCAUCACUCAUAUACUUCGCCUUCAUUACCUUACUUACUAACAAAUUUGGAGCCAUUAAGAAUCUCCAAAUUUGUUUUGCCAGUAAUGCUGUGUUGAAGGCCUCCAAAUCUCUAAAGCCUAAACCUCCUCUUCCCUUAACUUCUAAGAGCUUCUUCCAGCUUGCCCAAUGUACACAGGUACCCUUUUCUCCCUUCCCCCACCAGAAACUCGCUAUUUUACCUGUGAUUUGUCUACACAAACCCCUUGGAAGUCUAAAGCAAGCCAUCACAUAUGUUGGCAUAGCCAUAAUCACUGAUUUGACCAGAAUUUCUUUCCCUCCUUGGCUCAACAGUUUUUGUUUCCAACCUUGCAACUUGUUACUAAUUUUGUUCUGGACAAAUGCAAAGACCUGUGUCUUUGAUCUUCCAAUUGCCAUUGGGAGUCCUAGGUAGGUUCCAUUCCUUGCCUCUUUAAUGUUAUCUAAUACCUCCCUCACUCCAUUCUUCCUUUGAUCAGUGGUAUUUUUGCUAUAGAAGAUAGCUGACUUUUCAAAAUUCACCACCUGUCCGGAUGCUUGACCAUAUCUUUCCAAUAUGCUUUUGACCUUCCUCGCCUCCUGCUUGGUUGCUUGGCAGCAUAGUAGAGAAUCAUCUGCAAAAAAUAGGUGAGAAACCAUCGGACUGUCCUUGCAUAUUUUGAUCCCUGUAAUUUCCUUGUUCAUCAUAGCUUUAUGGAUCAAACAUGAAAGACCUUCAGCGCAUAUAAUAAACAAGUACGGGGAUAGGGGGUCUCCUUGUCUAAGCCCUCUACUCGGUUGAACACAGCCUACCUUUUGCCCAUUUAAGUUGAAGGAGUAAGUCACAGUAGAUAGGCAAGACAUGAUCCAUUUAACAAAAAUUGGACAAAACCCCAUUUUCAUCAUAACUCUCCCCACAUAUUUCCAUUCGACUCUAUCGUAAGCUUUGGACAUGUCCAGUUUAAGAGCCAUAAAUCCUACCCUUCCCUUUCUCCUAUUUUUCAAAAAAUGCAGGAUUUCAUGUGCAACUACUACAUUAUCAAGAAUUUGACGGCCUGGGAUAAAAGCGGAUUGAGAGGGACUAAUACAAUGAUGCAAGACACCUUUCAAUCUAUUAGCUAUGAUUUUAGAAAUGAUUUUAUACAGGACAUUGCACAAGCUAAUAGGUCUAAAAUGCACCACAGAUUCAGGAGUAUCAACUUUAGGAAUCAACGAAAUAAUAGUAUCAUUCACAGCUUUGAGCAAAUGCCCAGUAUGAAAGAAACUCUUAAUAGCUGCUACCACAUCAUCCUUGAUAAUAUCCCAAUAGUGUUGAAAAAAUAGAGGAGACAUACCAUCCGUUCCUGGUGCUUUAUUAGGGUGCAUCGAGAACAAAGCUUUCCUGAUCUCACUUUCCUCCACUUGUCGUAUCAGUUGUCCAUUCAUAUGACUCGAAAUAGUGCUUGGAAUUUCAGCUAGAAUGUCCUCAAAGCAGUCCGGGUUAGUAGUGGUAAAAAGGUCUUUAUAGUACUCACAAAGUUCCUCCUCAAUCUCAUGUUCCUCCUUGCACCAUGUCCCAUCUUUUUUCUGCAAUAUAGUGAUCUUAUUUCUCCUCCUCUUUGCCAUGACCGAAGAAUGGAAAAAAGCUGUAUUCUUGUCCCCUUCUUUGAGCCACUUGUUCCUGGAUUUUUGACUCCAAAACAUCUCUUCCUCUGCAUAAGCUUUAUUCAAUUGUGCUUUUAGUUCAGCCACUUGUACUCUUUUCCCUUCAUCCUUUCUUGCUUUCACUUCAGCCAAUUUCUCCUUUAACACUUUAAUUCUAACCUUUGAGUUUCCCUGCACCUUUUUCCUCCAAUCCAGAAUAGCCAUGCGACAUUCCUUUAUUUUUGUAGCCACUCUAAACAUCCUGGACCCUGACUUCACCUUUGUCCAUGCUCCUUGAAUCACCCUUUUUGCUUCUGGAUUUAGCGUCCAUCGUUGAUCAAAGUAAAAUCUCCGUUUUCUCCUUGUGUUUUCCGGGUUUGUAUCCACAAGAAGCAUUAGAUGAUCAGAGGCUUCAGUAUCUAAAUGAGUACACUGUGCCUUUUCAAAUCUUUGCAGCCAUUCGGUGCUGCAUAAACAUCUAUCCAACCUCUCUUUCACUUCCCCAUCCCCCUCCCAACUAUUGCACCAAAUCCACGGGACCCCUUGAUAACCUAAGUCAACCAGGUUAUUGUCUUUGAUAAACCUGUUGAACUCCCUAAAACAUCUUUCAGCUCUAUCCCUUCCUCCCCACUUCUCCUCACUAGACCUCAAAUCAUUAAAAUCUCCUACAAUGAUCCAGCCAUCCCCCCAGUCCCUCAUCCUGUCCUCUAAAUAUUUCCAUUGUGCUUUUCUAAUGUUACUAUCUGUGCUUGCAUAAACACACACUAGCCCCCAGUAUCCUUUAGUAUCCUUGUCCUCAACUCUAGCACUAAUACACCAAUCAGUACUUACAAUCUGGUCUAAAAUCACCUCAUUGUUCCAGAAUAAUGCUAGACCGCCUGCUUUACCUAUUGAAUUCACAAAAAAGCUAUUGUCAUACUGAAUCUUCCUUUGAACCUUGCCCAUAAACCCUUCCUGAUUCUUAGUUUCACAAAGGAACACCACCUUAGGAGAGUGGAAGUUAGUCACUUCCUUUAGUUGGGGACUUGUCAAGGGGCCUCCUACACCUCGACAAUUCCACACCACAACCUUCAUUUACACUUUGGAGGCUUUCCGGGGCUAGCCUCCAUUUCCCCUAUUGUACUAACAUUUAUUAGAUCCAGUUUCAUAACCUUUACCUUCGGUACAUUAUCAUCAUCCUCCUCUAUCGGUUGUGUUCCCUGAAACAUACCAUCAGCCUUCCUUUUAGCACACGAAACCUGCGUUACUUGUCCAUUUGUAUCUGCCUUUAAGGAUGUUUUAGCCGGCCUCCCUCUUCUUUUAAAACUGCUUCUUUUUUCAGCUUUGUUAUCUUCUUCCCCUGGAGUAGCCUCCUUUCUUGGCAUUCUUGCAUUUGUCUCCUCCUGCUUUAUUGACCCUACCCGCAAACUUUCACAUUCCUGUUUUGAGCUGUCCGUUUCCAUAUCCUCAUAAUCUACUGGUGGGAUUACGCUGCUCCCUCCUUUACUCCCUUCCUGUACCCUACCCUCCUUUUCACCAUUUCCCUCCAUUAAGACCACAGCCAAACUUUCCACCCGUUGGUUUGCCUUUCCAUACUGCCUGCUGUCUUUUAGAAUCUCAUCCCACCUCUCUUCAUAUUGUCUCGUCAUCAUUUUCUCCUUAUCCCCCCUUUCCUUUCCCCCCAAGACUCUACCAUUUUUUCCCCCAAGAGUUAAUGUAUCUCCAGCCAUUUGUACUCCAGUUUGAACUUCACUACUAGGAGACCCUGCCCCCACCCUCCUUGCAUCAAUUUCACUUACUCCUUCCAGCCGUCCCUUUAAGGGAGAUACCAUUAUAUUUCCAGCUCUCAUCCAGGCACCAUAUUGUUCCUCUCGCUUCUCCCCCCCACCCUUCCUACCACAGUACAAGUCCUAUCACUAUGCCCAAUGAUACCACACCUAUAACAGAAAUCAGGGCAGCGUUCAUACCUGAACUCAACCCACACUGCCUGGUUCUUACAGUUGAUCUUUGUCCCUCUAACCAGUGGUUUCGUUAUAUCUACCUCAGCCAUAAUCUUCAUGUGGCGACCCUCUUUCCCACCACUUCCUGGGAGAAUCACUCCCCUCACUGAUUUAAAGAUCCCUCCUAUUUUCAAACCCACUGCUCUGCUCAACCAGUGCACCGGUAGGUUCCAUAGUUGAAUCCAAAGAAAGGAAUGCUGGAAAAAGCUGCUGUUUGUAUCAUACCCCUCUACCCACUCCUUCACUAUCAGCAACUGGUUGUCCAUGACCCAAGGCCCUCCAGAUAAGAUCUUUUUCUUUUCCCCUUCAUCUCCCAGAUGGAAAUGGAAUAAGUUAGGACCUAACUCAGUCACUUUCAUCUUUGAGGGGUAUCCCCAUGCAUGAUUUGUAAAGUUCUUUAACCCCGUAAAGUUGGCAAUUUUUUCACCAAUCAGCUUUCCUACCAGGCUUCCUUGACACUCAGAGACGCCUUCUUCCAGGUCCUCACCACUCAGAUCGACACCUCCUAACUCUGUUUCAGACAAGUCAAAAUUUUGAAAGGCUCUUUCUAAAGCAUCCGCCAUUGCUGUGACGAGAGCUCCUUGAGAAACCAAGCACUAUUUCUGAGCUAUGAGUGACCCACUGACAGACCUGUGAAGAAUUGCAAAGACAGACAAAGCUGUGUUAUCCGUACACACUAAAAACCAACCAGAAAAACAGAGAGGAACUCGACAGAAAAAGCACAGGCACAAGAAGAAACGAAAGAAAAAAGAAAAACCAACAAACCACUAUCCCACUCCCGACCACAUAACAGCAUUAAAGAAAGGGACACAAAUACGACACUCCAACUUCCGAUCACAUGCUCUGACUCAAUGGAUCAUAUCUUGCCCAAAGCGUUUACUCCUCCAACCGAUUCCAAACCACUACAGACAUUGUCUCCCAUUUUGAAGCCGGAAGAAAGGUGGCUUCUGGACAGGGAACAUGAAAGCAAAGGUUGAACUAAAGAUUUGAUUUUAGAUCUGAAAAUUACGCUGUAGGAAAAAGUGCUAUGUGUUUGUACCUCACCCACUCUCCCACACCGAGGAGGGGAACCUCUAAAGUUAGAGAGAGAAGCUCUCAAGUUAGAGAGAAGCUUUGGAAGUUAAUUACCAACGUACCAUGCCGUACAUGUUUGUAAGGAUUUCUAUCCUAUUGGCAAAAGUCGGUUCCAUACAAUUAAUCAAUUCAUUUCACUUCUAUUGGCUCUACUAUUUAUGCAUGUUACGACACUCUUUCCCUUAUAUUUUGCCUUUAAUAUUAUGAGUCAAUAGUAAUAAUGGGCCUUUUUCUUAAAAUUAUACUAUUAUACAUAGGUAGUUUGGUCUAACGCUAAAUUCAUGUUUGUCUUUCUUUUAUUCCCUUUACAUCUCAAAGUAUACUAUAGUUUGUAAUCAUUGUGGUGAUGAUAUUACCAGCUGGUACUUAUAGUUUAAGGCAGAGACAUGAUAUUAACAACUAUCUCAUUGAAACAUAAGUCAAAAUCAUGACAAGUGUGAGUCUUGGUUAAUGCACAAUUUGUUAGUGGAAUUUAUAUUUAUAAAACUCAAAAAAAAUUUUUGACAAUGCUAUUACUAAUUAAUUAAGGACUUCAUUGCUAUAAUUUAUCGCUUACUAAUUUAAACUAUAAAUGAUCUCAAUACUUUUCUCCAUGAUGUCGAUUUCUUUAGACUACGAAAGGGAAAAAUUAGUGACAUAUCCCUUACUGAUUACAACAUCAGCAAAAAUUAGUUAUAAACUUUUCCGGUGGUUUUAAAUCCCUCGGGCACUAAGGUUUUUUGCACAUCGAGUGAAUUAAGGAACAUAGGCAAUUCGUUCUGCAUACCAAGUCCUUGUUUAAGAUGCACGUACUAAAAUGCAUCCACUUCAUUAAUUUGGAAAAUUGCCAUAGUUUUUUUUAAGCAUUUUGAUUUUUUACAUGAUUCAAAAUUUUCUUAUUGGAUACAAUCACUUUGUGUCAAGAACACAUUUUCAAUCAUCUUUUUUAUCUUCUCAAUAAGAAAAUAAAAAUUUAUUCAUGCUUUUCUAACAUAUCCAAUCAUUGAUCUGAAAAAUAAAGAAUUAAAAAAAAAAGACAUUUUCAAUCAUUGCUUACGGGGCAACUUCCCCAUGUGAACCUCAUCAAACAAAGCCAAUAAUAUGAAGGAACAUCUAAAUACACUUUUGCCCUAAAGGCUGGUUGCCUUGGGGUCAAAAUUUAACCUUCGGGAGUAUAAUUACCCGCCAAAUUUAUUAUUUUUUUUAUGGGUAUAUAGUUCCAAUUUUGCCUCCUGUUAAGCUUAUAAAUAUAUUACGACCCAGAAAAUAAAGGAAUCUUGAAUAGUAACAUGUCCAUUGACUUGAGUUGUUAUCAAUUUGGCUACUUCGAUUCCAUGAGGCCAAUCCAAUUCACACUAGCUAGAGAAAAUGGUGAUAAAGGCACUUAGAAAUUUAUAUGUAAUAUUGAUUGGUAGUAACUGAUAAGUAUAUAUUUUACGUGUUUUAAAUAUGUUUUAUUAGUUAGUUUUGGUGUGUUUUAACUACUUUUAUAACUAAUUAACUAGGAAUCUAGUGAAAAUAUGCAUUUUGUGGUUUGAAGUGUAAAAAUUGUAUUUCUAUGGAUUUUAAUGGUGAAAACUUCAUGUUUUUGUAGGUUUAAUGAUUCAAUCAUCAAAUGACAUGAUUUGAGAAGAUAAUUAGAUGAUUGAUGAUGUUUUGAAGUGAUAAAAAGAGAAUACAAAGUGCAAGAGAGGAAAUGCAAUCAAGAAUAAAAGAAGAAAAUUUUUGUAGCUUUGACAUAUUGUCGUAUUUCGGCAAUAUAUUGAGCUACAAUGAUCGGAUUAAGGUGAUUCUUAAACCAUUUGAAGCUAAAAUAUAGAUCUACAUUUGGCAUGAAGGCAUCGAAACCCAUGUCAGUCAUUUUCCUUGUCAAAAUGUUGAAAUACAGAAGUGCAACUCUGUUCUCGAAAGCUAAAACAGAGCUCUGGCUAGUCGAGGGUAUUUUCAUCAUUUCUUAGUCCACAGAGCUCCAAAUGAGAUGAUUCUUAAGGCAUUAGAACCCUAACUCAAAGAGCUACAACUUUCAUAUUUUGUACAAGAGUUAGUUCGGCCUCUAUCAUUAAGAAAAUAGUAGUUGAAGUGGUGCCAAAUGCAUAGAAGUGAAAACGCGAGCUAUCAAUACUCGACCUGAAGUCGCGUAUUCCUGAGGUCAUGCAUUCUCUUCUAUUUUCUGCAACUUGCCCUGCUUUCACAUAACUUUUUCAUCUCAAUUCCAACUAUCAAUUUCGGCUAUAUCUGAUCAAGAAAAGUGUGGAAAGUUUGAAAGACAACUCAUAGGAGUUUCAAGAGUCAAAAAUUACAAUUAGAAACAACUCAUUUGGCUCUUGAAUCCUCUAUAAAUAGAGGCCUUUGAAGAACAUUUUCACAACUUUGGAAGGUUAGAGAAACUCCACAAAAACAUAGUCUUCACUAGAAUUUCCUUAGUUCAUUAGUUAGGGUAGUAUAGUAUAGUUAGUGUAGCUUUUCCUUCUUGUAUUUAUAGUUAGGUUUGAAUGAAGAUUCAGGAGCAAAGAUAGAGAGGUUGAUCUCAUGUGACAAGGGUGAUAUCUCUUCUACUACUUUCUCUUUUGUAUUUGAUUUCAUAUUUAACUAUACUACAAAUUUGGCUUUGUUUUUUUUUUUUUAUCAUGUUUAGUUAAAGUUUAUGCCUAGAGUAUGGAUGACCUUUUUAUAUCUUGUUUGUGAUAUUUAACUGGUUAUUUGAUGAUGUUAUUUUUGAGCAAGUUAUUUAUCACUUUUGCUUUUCUAAUCAUGAUUAACUGGCCAUUAGUUGUGAUUAUCUAAAAGUGUUAAGUUUGUAAUGAGAAUUGGAGUUUAACACUAGUUCAAGGAAGUGAUAAAUUUAGGGAGUUCACUCAUGAGAGUAGAGGAACACCUUUGUGACCUAAGUGACUUGUUUCAUAUAAUUUCAUAGAAAAAAUGAACUUGUAAUUAAUUUCAUAACCACGAGAGUAAGUAUGGUUUAGCUAUAUGUAUAGUUGAUUCACUACGAGAGUAGGUUUCACAUACAUUAGAAAAUUACAUCAUAACUAGUCAAGAUAAUAUCAUUCAUUUAAUCAGUAAUCUCAUUUGCAUGAGUAGUAAGGCAUUCCAUAUCUCUAGGAGGUUUUUAGUAUUAUUUUCAUUACUUUUAUGUUUAUGGUAGUCUAGAUAAUAAUGGAGUUCGAAAACUACUAGUAAUUGAAAAUUUUCCCUGUGGGAUCGACCUUUAAUACCCUAUACUCGCUCUCGACUCGUAUACUUGAGAAAAAUCACGUGUGCGGUAUUUAGAAUUUAUAAAUGUAAAACUUGACUGUAGAUGAACUAAUUGAUAUAUGUAUACCCCGCACUCGUCAGUAACCAGCUUGUAUUGAUCCCACUAUUGUGGAUAAUUGUGCUCUUAUGAAAAAAAAUUAUAAAAAAAUUAGCAAAAUUUAUGAUAACAAAUUAAAUUUAUUCAUACAAAUCAGUGAAAGAAGUAGAAUUUUAAAGUCCAUGAUGAAAUUAAUACUUUCAAGGGCUCUAUUAGGAAGACUUCACUUGUUGGUGAAACUACACUAGCACAGUUAUAUGCACAUUUACUGUUUUGGUAUCUAAUUUCCUUGCCUUAAGUUGGGUGCAGAUGUUUAUAUUACAAAUAGAUGGUAUCAUAAAAUUGUUGUAUUCACGUUUGUUCUUUUUUUUCUUCCUUAAGUUUUUUUCUUUAUUCUCGUGACUUCAAAAAUACGAACUCAAGAAAUUGGCUGCUUAAUCAAUAUGUCAUACAGGCUUCGCUAGUGAGGUAUAACUUCACAACUAGAGUCAAUAGAAAUUAUCAAAUGAUUUUUUAACAUCCAAAUUAAGCAAUAAAUUUUGUUUUCAUUUUAUGACAUAUAAUAGUACUACUUCAUGAGAGAUUUUAUAGUUUCUUUUAGGUAUCAUACCUACAAGUGAUAUUUGUCAUUGGAUAGUGACAGAAGUGUUAAUGAUUGUAAGAUUAAAUAUUGUUAAAUAUUGAAAUUUAAACUAUUUAUCUUUAUUGAAAGAUACAAGUUAAAGAAUCGUUCAAGGGGGCAAUUUUCCAUCUUGUCUUUUUGAAAAAACGCUAUCACAUUGUAUAGGCAUGAUAGGUUCAAAUUUGUCAUUAAAUUUAUGAUUGAUUUUCCUUUUAUUCAAGCCAAAUAUUGUUUUAAUUAUCAAAUUCUACUUAUAUUUGGUUAAUUGUACUAAUUGUAGGGCGGUAGAGCAAAAGUUGCUAAAAAUAGGCGAUUUUCUGCAAAUUGGUUGUCAAGGCUGAAGGAUUUGGGAUUCGCAUGUUCAAGGCCUGUUUCCAAGUUUGAUUCAAACUCUGGACAGUUUUAGAGGAAGAUUUGGAAGAUUUGAAAUUUCAUUAUUAGUUUUAUGGUUGAAUUAGGAAUCUUGGAAUAAUUUCUUUUGUGAUUUAUUUUUCUAUUUAGGAGACUAGUUGUUAUUUAGUAGUAGACUUCAAUUAGAAAACAAAGAGAAAAAGAAGGCCGGAAUCCCGCUUGAUUAAUACCUUGGCCAGGGAACAAUCUCGGUGGGGAGGACGGCCACUUAGCCUCUCAAUUCAUCUUGCUUUUCGUUAGUUUGAGAGGAAAACCAAUUGCAACUAGAUUCAAUGGAGUCUGGCAGAAUUUCUUCUAGGAUGCGUAGCUAAAUCCUCAAUUUUUAGUCGAAGGUCAAUUUGAAAAUUCGGUUCCAAAUAUCUGUGAAAUCGAAUUAUUUUACUUAUUUCUUUUAUUUAUUGGUAUUCGCACGUUUUCUGAUUUAACUUUUUAUGAUUGUUUUGUUAUUUGAAUGUCAAGGGUCCGAUAUUCGAAUUAACUUAAUAAUCUACUGCCAAAUUAACCGGUUAAAUCCGUAAUUGUUUGAUUGAUUAAUAUCAGUGGCGACUAGCGUGAUUGGUCCCAUGUUAGGAAAACGUCUGAUCUAAUUUAAACAAACCGUCGUAGCGUGUUUGUUGAUUAGGGUUGGGCUUUUCUAAUUCUUAAUUCAAUUGAGAAAUUAAAUCCCCCGGUCGUACCUAGGAUUAUUUUUUUGUUAGCGAAAUAGUUAAUGGUCGUACCUUGACUAUCGAAAAAGUAAGGAAGAGUUGAUUGUUUAUCGCGUGUACGACAACUAUAAUCAAUCUAUUAAUGAGUAAUUGAAUUAUCUUUGCAUCAGUAAUCAGUUGAAUGGACCGUGUCUGAAAAGUUGUACCUUUGGCUAGAGUCUUAUCUGUUGUUGAUUCAUUCAUAUCUAUCUUCAUGCGUUGUUUUAAUUUAGUUAAUUAGUUAUUUUUAUAAAAACCCCUCAUCUCUGGACUCUAAAAGAAAUAAAUUAUUUCUAGUUCCUGUGGAUUCGAUCCUACUCACCAUACAAUCCAACCUGCAAUUGUAUGAACCCCAAUCUCGCUUCCUAGUCCACCAUUUUUCUCUAGGUAAUAAUCUCCCUUCUAAUUUCUUCACAAAAUGCACCUUUCAUCACCUCCAAUAGCGUCGACAUGAUCUUUACCCCAGAAGACUAUUCACCGACUCUCAAUUGACGUUAGAAAAUCUAAGAGUAAUUCUACUUUACCCUAAGAUUGAUAUCAACAAGACAAGGACAAUUUAGAAUUAUUACACGCCUCUUCUUAAUAGGAAAAAGAAAUAGAGAAGAAAGUCAGGCCAGGUCUAAUUUCUUUUCAAAGGCAAUACAACAUUACGAAAUCAAGCAUUCAUUCAUACAAAUAUUUCAUAGUCACCGGUUUGCUGAGUAGAAAAAUUUAGACAAAAACUUAAUAUUAUAUUGUUUAAGAGUUAACAAUUUAGAGCUUAAUCUCCUUGUACUUUGGAGUUAACAAUUUAGAGCUUAAUCUCCUUGUACUUUGGACUAAACUUGAACGUGAAAGGAAAUCCCAAAACCAUAUUGGGCAUGAAUUCACACUUAAUAUACCCAAUAAAAGAUGGCGACUGGUGAAAGGCAGUGGAGACUGGUGGAGAGAUUUGAGGAAUAGAAGCAGACGGAAAAGCAACAAAUUUUUGCCGAAAAACGGUCACUUUCAUGGUUAAUUUUGCUACUCUCCAAUUGUACUUGACCAAUUACAACAAUUUCAUGGAGUUUGAUACGUGAAAAGAAUUUUUUAUAAAUUUUAUUUUGAUCCAUAAUGUUAUCUUUACAUAUAUAAAACAUUUUACAAUUUUGAUUUUGGCGCAGUUAACUUUUGGUAAACAAAAAUGCUCAUGUUUAAAAAACCGGAAAUAAAACAAAACAAGAAACAAAAGAAAUAAGAGGGUAGCAUAGACAUUUUGGAUUUUUCCGUUAAUUUGGAUGAUUUCCACCCACGUUCUAAUUUAAUCCAAAACACAAAGGAAUUACGUAGAGGUUUUAAAUAAUGAGGGAGCUUCAUGAUCGAACCCCAAACCACAAGGCGAUUUACUAUAUUUUACUCUUAAAUUUUGGUUUCAUCUCAUAGCAUACAAGAGUUCUAUUUCACUAUCUGUAGACAAAGACUUUCUAUGGUUGAUGUACCAUAGGAAAAAAUCUGCCUAUACAACGUGAUAGCAUUUUUUCAAAAACACAAGAUGGAAAAUUGCCCCCUUAAACGGGGAAAUUCAUGAUCUUUCCUCGAACAAAGAAUACUCACGCCUAUUCAAGAUGGAAAAUUGCCCCCUUAAACGUCUAUUUGUCAAUUCUUGAAAAAAGAAUACUCACGCCUAAAACACGGCCUCUUCAUCUGCAGAAUUCUAAAAAGUUAGGUAAACUCUAUAAACAAGUUGAUAGGUACAAUCGUACCCAAGAUCAAGUACAGAUAGUUGUACAUUCACUGCUGCAAUAACUAAUCUGAUGACUUACAAACAUAUCAUGGUCAAUCGUUGAAUGGUAAUGAGUCUUUUGUUAUGCAUUAGUAUUAGUGUGUACACUCUAAUAGAUUGAUACUUAUACUCUUUAAAUUAUCAUAAUAAUACCCUUAAUUAACUUUAACUCUUAAAAAGAAUACGUGUUAAUACACGAGAGUGUGUAACCUGAAUUGUUACUUAUACAUUAGUGUGUAAUAGAUAGGGAUGGCAAUGGGGGCGGGUGCCCGCAGGCAACCGCCCCGCGGGGGGCUCUCGGGGCGGGGAGGGGGGAAUUUUUUCCCCCCGUUUAGAAACGGGGCAGGGGACGGGGGAGUAUACCCCCGCCCCAUCCCCCGCAAAAAAAAUUAUAUAUAUAUAAUUAUAUAUAAUAUGUAAUUUAAUUAGUUAUAAACUUAUGAUAAUGAUAUUAUUAGUUAGAUGUAUUAUAUAAUGUAUAUUAGUGUAUGUAAUAUAAUUAAUAUUAUCAAUUAUACGAAUAAUUAGACAUGUCUACUAAUAGAAUUUAUUAAUUAGUUAUACUAAAUUUACUAAUACAUUUAUACUAAAUUUCUAAUUACAUUUAAUAGAAUAACACUUUUUUCUAAAAAAAAAAGCACAAACACAAUAAUGAAUUAGUGAUUGUAUUUUUACCAAAAAUGAAAACUUAACUAUUUUAGUUGCAUUUAUUUCAUCAUGUUGGAUUGUAUUCAAAUAAUUUUUGUUUGAUUGUUUUUAUGAGUUUCAAUUGUAAAAUUAAAAUGAAUAAUAACUUGAUGAAUAAUAAUGUCAAUCGUUGAAUGGUGUGUACACUCUAAUAUUAUGCAUUAGUAUUAGUGUGUACACUCUAAUAGAUUGAUACUUAUACUCUUUAAAUUAUCAUAAUAAUACCCUUAAUUAACUUUAACUCUUAAAAAGAAUACGUGUUAAUAACUCUUAACCUGAAUUGUUACUUAUACAUUAGUGUGAAAUAGAACGGCAAGCAUUGAGCAACUUAUAGGAGAAAUAGUCCUAUAAGCUGUUGGAUGACUAAUAUAGCUCUAGCUGUAAUGUUUUAAUUAAAUUACAUCACUAACGUUGGGAUGACUAAUGGUUUAAAAAUAAUUGAGUAAUUGGAAAAAAAAAAAGAGACUAAUUUUCAUUGAAACCCACCGACAAACUAAACGUGUCCAUGGCUUUUGAAUAGUGCAUUCAACGUUUAAUUGUAUAGUCCAGUUCAUUGCAGAUUACAUGGAGUAAAGAUUGUGCUCUUUCCUUUUUCACCCCUUUUGGAAUCGAUACUGUGGAGAAUUGGGUUUUUCCCUUCUUUUUUUCUUUUCUUUCUUUCUGUGCUUUGCAAAACAUAGGUAAAAUUAUGAAAUCCGAAGCAUUCUUUAAUUGGGAUUAAGUAUUGUUCUUGAAAUUAAAAAGAAGAAAGAAAGAACAACAAAAUUCCCUGAUUGGUUGCAUCGUGCUUCCAUAGAAGCUCUCUUAGUGUGAUACACUGCUUUCAAUCAGUUUAACAUGGAAAAAAGAAAGAGAUGAAAAGCAAAUUUGGUGGGGAUAAUUUCAGAAACCUCCCCUGAAGAUUUUGACUAUUCUACUGGUCUCCCUUCAGAUUUUAAAAAUUACACUAAUCUUCCUUGAAGUUAUAACAUUUAAAUUCAAUCAAUAAUUUAAAAAAUGAUAUUAUGAAAGAGAAAAUAAUAUGAUUUUAUCAUUGCCCCCCAUCUUACUACAUUAUUUAAUUAAUUUAAUAGCAACCCACACAUUAAAGAAAAAUAUAAAAUUUGUUAUUUAUCAUUAAAGAUCAAAUCGCUUAUAACAUCAAAUAAUAGUAUAUUAUUUAUAUUUUUCACUUAACAUAAUAUCCAAAUUACUCUUUUCAAUUACAUACUCAUUGUUAGACAAUCAACAACAAAUAACCAAAAAAUUUGCAACCAAAAUAUUACAAAAAAAAAUAAACUUUAACAUCAUAAAUAUUCUUAUCAACAUAUUAAAGUUAGUUACUGAAAUUUUUAUGGUGUUAAACUUCACUCUUUGUAAUAUUUUGGUUACAGAUUUUUUUUGAUUAUUUUUUAUUAAUUAUGUUUGAUGAUGGGUUUGUAAUUGAAAAGAAUAAUUUAAAACUUACAUUAAGUGAAAUAUAUAGAGUGAUAUACUAUUUUUUAUAACAUAUGUGAUUCAAUCCUUCUUGAUAGGAUUGGUAAUAGAGGUAGAGGGGGGAGUCGGCUGCAUCCGGUCUUCUUUUCAUAGAUAGUACAAUAUUGCGAAAUCAAUCGCAUUCACACAAUAAUAUUUCGAAGUCAAUGCAUGGCUAAGUUGCAUAAAAGUACGAACACUUGUUAUUAUAUAGCUUAAGAUUCAAAACUUUAGAGCAUAACCCUCCACCUAACACAAUUGAAUAAUGAAUAUUCACGUUUGUCAAAUCUGUCAAAGCACAGUUUGAGGACAACCCAUUCCAACCUGCAAAAGAUUUUUUACUUUUCUAAAGUUGUUGAGAGCUGUAAAAAGACCUACCAUGCUUACAUCCUCCGAGCCUUGGGAGUUAAAAAUGAAGGCACUGAGUGCUAUAAAAAGGGGGCUAGAGGCUGCCUAGAAGCAUAUCAGCCUAAAACAAGAAUUUGUUGUUAUGAUGGGAAGCAAAGCAAAAGCAAUGGGGUCUGGGCUGACUCCUCUUCUUGCCACUGUUUUAGUGGUAUUUGUUGCUCUUGGCUUGCCCUCAGAAACAGCAGCUGAUGAUCACUACAAGUAUUCAUCUCCUCCUCCUCCUUACCACUAUCCCUCACCACCGCCUCCAGUGCAUUUACCUCCACCAGUGUACAAAUACAAGUCCCCACCACCACCUCAUCAUGUUUACAAGUACAAAUCUCCACCACCCCCACCACCACACCCAGUUUACAAGUAUAAGUCACCACCACCACCUCCUCAUCCGGUACCACACCCAGUUUACAAGUAUAAGUCACCACCACCACCUCCUCAUCCGGUAUACAAGUAUAAGUCUCCUCCGCCACCACCACACCCAGUUUACAAGUAUAAGUCACCACCACCACCUCCUCAUCCGGUACCACACCCAGUUUACAAGUAUAAGUCUCCUCCGCCACCAGUUUACAAAUAUAAGUCUCCUCCACCACCACCUCCAGUGUACAAGUACAAGUCUCCACCACCACCAGUUUACAAGUACAAAUCACCACCACCUCCUCCCCCAGUUUACAAAUACAAGUCUCCACCACCACCAGUUUACCACUACAAGUCACCACCACCUCCUCACCCAGUUUACAAGUACAAAUCUCCUCCACCACCAAUUUACCACUACAAGUCACCACCACCUCCUCCCCCAGUUUACAAAUACAAGUCUCCACCUCCUCCUCACCACUACUAAGCAAUUGCUUCUGAGGUAAUAACACUUGUUCAAUAACACUUGAUAGCCAGCUGAAUAUUUGCAGGCAAAGGAGAAGGAAACCAGUGUUUGAGACCUUCUUGAAGAUGUAGAAGCAUAAGAAUUAAAGCCCAAUGUGAAGAUGAUGAUUUCAAGUUUUUCUACGUUACCAUUUCAAUAUCUAAAUUGGUUGUAGCGCCUUAGUUCCUUUGUUUAUGGGAUUUGUAUCGUUUUACGUACCAUGCAGUACAUGUCAUGUUUGUAAGGUUUUCUAUCCUGCCGGCAAACCGCAGGUUCCAUGUAAUAAAUCAAUACUAUUUAUAUUACGACACUUUUCUCUGUUUCUCUUAUAUUUUGUCUUUAAUAUUCUUAAUCAUAUUUUUAACAAAAAUAUUCAAACACUUCAGCAAUGGUUCACCUAGUUGAUCAUCGAAGCAGAGGCAAUUCCAAUUAUUUAUCAAUAAAUAGGAUAUAACUACCAAACAAGCGAUGGCAGUUAACCCCUCCUUACUGUGUCGGUGAUCAAGGUACGCCCGUUAAUCACUGCUCUAAUUGAGAAAUAAUCCUAAGUACGCCCGUAGAAUUUAAUUCCCCAAUUGCCUUACAUAUUAGAGGAGCCCUAUUCUAACCAAAUAACGCACUAUCAGGGUUAUUUUAGAUUAGCCCGCGUAUUCCCCUGACAUAAAUCUAAUCAUGCCAGUUGUCAUUAUUUUGAGGUAAUUAAACAAUUACGGAUUUAACACCUCAAUUGACAAUAGAUUAUUAAAUUAAUUAAUUAUUCGGAUCCAAGACAAUCAAUUAAUUAAACAACCAUAAGCACUACAAUCAGAGAAUAUGCAAAUACCAAUAAAUAAAUAAAAAAUAAAAUUAAAUCGAUCUCACAAUUUUUAGGCGAAUCAGAGCAUCCGUUGUCCCUUGACUAGAGCAAGGAAAUUAGUUCAUAUUUGAUGAACUAAACCCAUACAAAAGGGAAGCGAGAAAUGCAGCCAUUAUCCUUUGAAAUCUGGAAAAUUCAACUUGUCCGAAUAUCGAAUAGAUAGUAAUACUACAAAAGGUAAUUCAUAGCUUCCCUUUCGUCUGACACACAAGAAGAAAAAAAAGGGCUGCUAAUAACUAAAGGAGGAAAAGUCAAAGUCCUAAGCUAUGCUACAAGACGAAAAACUAAAGAAGACAAAAAGGCAGUGCUCAUUCCCUGCAAUCUCAAUUCCUAUUCUAUCUAAGUGCUCUCCAAUGUGCGGCGGCUCCCCUUCCGGAGAGGACGAAGUGGCACCCUUUUUUCCUGCGCAAUUUUCCUAUAUAAAGUAGUGCUCCUUGCAGCGGCUCCUGUGCGAAAAAAUGAAGACUUCGGCCCAAUUUGCCUAACAAGGGCUCACGUUUUGUUGUUCUAAAAAUGUCCCUAGGACAAACUCUAUCAUCUGAACUCUUUUCUUGCCAAAUUAGUACCUGUUAUUAUAUUUUCGUUCUACUCCCUGAAAUAAAUGCAAAAUAUCAAAAGUGAGUAGAAUCUAGCAAUUAAUCCACAUUAGGUCAGGUAAUAGGGAAAAUUAAUAAUAAAAUAAAUGAUAAAAUUGCAAUCUAUCACGGGACCACUGUGGUAAGGUGUGUUUCGCCUAUUAUAAGGAGUUCGGAGAGUUAGACGUGUUGGAGGCGGAGGCGCGGUCACUCCUGCACGCCCUCCAGCUGUGUGCAGAUCGCGAGGUACGGGCGUUGACUGUAGAAUCUGAUUCAAAGGUGCUUGUUCAACUAGUUUGCUCGGAUAUGAGGUCGAAGUGGCCGGUGUGUAUCGUAUUGCGGGAAAUAAGACAUUUGAUCCGGCGGAUGGGUGCAUCCCUUCAUCAUAUAUUCCGUGAGGCCAAUUCGGUGGCGGACGCAUUGGCUUCUCUGCAAUUGGGAGGGCAGCAGUACUACACCUCAGGCGUGGCGCUGCCUUUCAGGCCCAGAGGAGAGGCUCUGCUGGAUCGUCAAGGAGUACCUCGCAUCCGUGAGGCGCUCACUAAGGUUUGAUAGGCUAUGUCCUCCUUUCAAAAAACUUAUUUCAUCUACUCCUUGUAAUCAUUUUUCUUAUCAAUAAAUUGAGGCUUUUUAUUUAAAAAAAAACAUAUAAUUUAAGGCAAAAAUAUGAUCCUAGCGAGUAUCGCACUGAGACAUUAGGAAACAUCAUUAAAAGAGUAUUUCUUGAGUUAGUGCAACUAUUUCUUAGGGGAAUUUAUAGUUACAAAAUUCAAAAAUUUGAGAUUCUAUUACUGAUUAAUUAAGGGCGUUAUCACUAUUUUUCUUAUUAUCACCAUUAUUUACCCCACAUACUAUAAGUUUUUUUAGGGCACAGGAAAAGAGGUGGGCCGAUGUUUAGUUAUGUACAAAAGUUCAAAAUUUGUAGAUAACUUAUCAUGUGCCCUUAGAGCGUAGAAUACAGAAAAAAUAUCUUAAACUAUAACUAAUCCUAAUAUUUUUCUCUAUGAUAAACUAGCUCUUAUCCAUUUCUUUAGAUGAUGAAAGGAAAUAGUUAGUCACCUGUCCUCUAGUGAUUACAACAGCAUCAAAACAAAUUAGCACUCUUUUCCCGUAGUUUAAAAAUCCCUCAGCCACUAAGAUUUUGCAUGUCGAACGAAUUAAGGAACAUAGAAGGUUCGUGCUGCACCACAGUGUCCUUGUUGACGAUGCAAAGACAGAAAUGCAUCCGCGUAUACUUCCUUAAGCAUUUUGAUUACUUUAUGAUUCGAACUUUUCUUGUCUGACAGCUGGACUUAAUUGAAAAACACAAGUAACAAUAUUUCAAAGUUGAUUCGUCAAAGUUUACCCAAUUGGUGAAACUUUCUUCAUAGAGCUGACUUUGUAUUAGGUGACAAUGAUAUGGAAUUGAUGUCCUUCCCUUUUUCCUUUUUUUGUGUUGAAGACGCACAACGUUUUCAAUGGCAAAUUUAUAUGGGCUUUUCACGACAAAAUGUGUUCUGAAAAGUUCAUUCCAGAGGUUAAAAUUUUGUGUGUUAAAAAUUUGCUUCUCAGGACUUUGAUGGGAAAGUCUUGGUGUUUCCAAAAAGUUUAAGCAGGAUGCUUCUGGCUUUCUCUCCAUGUAUUUGUGAGUUAGAUCUAAAAUUAUCAGGGCUCCAGAGAUCUCUUGAAAUCGCAGCAUAUAUUGAAGUCUUUCCAGAAGGAGUCUUUUUUUUUUUUUUUAUGAAUUAUGAUAGAUAAUUAAUCUGACGGUGCAUAUAUAUAUAUAUGUGAUUUGCAGUAGGGUGUUUGACGAAAUGGUUAGGCUUCCUAAGUAAUGAUAGGAAUGCCAUUUGCAAAGAAGGACAGGGGGCUGGUGCUGUCAUAUUUUAUGCGAUUUGAUCCGUUGUUGUAUAAGUUUAAACUUUUGACGUGCAAUUGUGCUAUAAUAUUAUACUAAAUAUAUGUGUGAAAUAUUUUGUCUAUAUACAUCACUUUUAUCAUGAAUACAACAGCUGAGUAUAAUAAUAUAGUAUAAUGUAAUUGUACACCAAAUAAUGUAGCAAAUAUAACAAUUGAUCCGAAUUACACGGAACCAUAACAACAAGAUCACCGCCUCCCAAAUUUUACAAAAUUAGGUUUUUUUUUUUUCUCUUAGAUUAUUGAAAAUUUUCAAAAAUAAUCUACAUAAUUUAAGCUUUUGUCCUACAAAAAUUUGAAGAGAUUUUACAUUACAAGCUUAAGCUUAGAUAUAUUAAACUUUGCCCCCAAGAUUAAUUUUCCGUUUUUAUCUAUGAACCGAUCCAUAUAGCUAGUUAGACUGUAGUCCUCACAUUUGUGGGAUUUAACACCCAAGAUUCUCCUUCUUGGAAUGUAAAAUGUAGAUCUUCUAUGUUAAUAAUUCAAGACCCUACUGUCAUAAACGAAAUGACUGAUCAACUCCUGUAAACCUAAUUUGACAACAUUUAAAUGGAGAACUUUAGCUAAAAGAAUUAUGGUCAAGCUAAAGAAAAAGCCAGUUAUUUUCCAACAUAUGCAAUCAUUGAUCAGGAAAAAAAAAAAAAAGCAAAAAGACAUCUUCAAUCAUUUAAUAGCUCACAGUGCAAAUUAACCCCUAAGCGAAAACUGGUUGCUCUAGAAUCAAAAUUUUACCUUAGUUACCCAGGCAACUUUUUUGUUGCUUUUUUUUUUUUCUUUUCCUUUUUGGGUAUAUAUAUAGCUCCAGUUUUGCCCCCUCUGUCAAGCUUAUAUAAUUAUUAAGAUAAUAAAAGUGCCUUGAAUAGUAUUAAUAUAUCCAUUGACUUGAGCUGUCAUCGAUCGGUUUGGGCUACUUCGAUUCCAUGAGAACAAAUGGUAAUAAAAGUACUCAGAAAAUAGGGAGCCAUGAAACCCUUUUGUUCUAUUCAUUGCUAAGAUGCUUUUCUCUAUAAAGAGACUUCCUAACGAAAGUACUUUGUAGAUUUCUUUACUCCAAGUGGUGCAUGGAAAAUUAAAAUAUUCAAUUAUCAAAUAAAAUUCCCUUUUUUCGGUGUAGAUUUCAUCCAUCCAGCUGUUAACACAUUUUAUGUAUCCGAAUUAUAUAUUCUCUACCAAAUAUUGUAACUUUUCUGAGCAUCUUUACAUUUUUAUUCCCACCUAACAAAUUAGUUGUUGAGCAUCUUUACAUGCUAUCGGAUCACAAGUUAAUAAUCUUUUAAAGAACAUGUUAAAUUAAUUUAUUGGUAUGAAUAGUCAAAGAAGUAUAUUAAAGUUAGUAAUCUUUAAACACCACGAUGCAAUUAAUACUUUCAAGCUCAAGGUCUUUUUUUUUUUUUUUUUUGGUACUGUACUUCCUUGCUUUAUAGUAUGCACGUUUAUUUCUGUGGAUUGCUUAAGCUUAUAUUGUUAAUAAUUGGGCAUUUAACCAUAAAUUAUAAUGAUUAUGAAGUCAUAUAUAUAUAUAUAUAUAUAAGAAAAUUACCACAAUUAUUCAAUUUUUUUUGCAAAUUCAAAUUUUAUUAAUAAGAAAUAGGCAGUAAGCUUUUACAAACGGAAAAAAAAAAUCCUACAACAACUCUAGGACCUUUGAAAGAAAGAAAAAAAAAAGAAAAGAAAAGCUUAAGGACUCUACCUCAUAGAAGCUAAACAAUCCUACAAAUAAACUGCAAAAUAAAUCACAAUAACGCAAAAUUUUUGUCUUUCUUCCGUAUGAAAUGAAACUACGAAGUCAAGAAUUGACUCCUUUAACCGCUAUUGCCAGCGGGCUCCGUCAGCAAGAUACAACUUUGCAAUUUGAUUCAAUAGAAAUCCUCAAAUAGCUAUUUUGACAGGCAAAUUAAGCAUUAAUUUUGGUAUCCCUUCAUAAAAUACAAGAGUACUUUUGAUUAUAUCUAUAGAUCAACUUUCUAGGCUAUUUUGAUGUAUUAUAAGAAAAUCUGCCUCAACAAUUUUGAUAGCAUUUUUCCAAAAGCAGAAGAUGGAAAAUUGCCCAUUUGUACUGGGGAGUUCGUGAUCUUUUCCUCCUUCUAGUCUACUUACAAUUCUUGGAAAAAGGAAUACUCACAUCUCAAACAACUGCCUGUUCAUCUGCAAUGUCCUGCCGAAUUCUAGAAAGUUAGGUGGCAAUGCUAAUUACAUUUCAAAAUUGACUGCUGCGAUGACUAAUUCGAUGGCUUACUACAUGGUCAACGUUUGGAUCCCUUCCUGUCCUUUUUGGAUGCACAUUUUUUUUCUCUAGGCAAUAUAUAAUCUCCCAACUCAUUUCUUUACAAAUGCACCUUUAAUCACCACCAAAAGGUGUGGACAUGAUCUUUACCCUAGAAAACUAAUCACCGACAGGCAAAUUGACGUCAGAAAUACUAAGAGGAAUUCUAGUUUCCUUCGGGUUAAUGCCAUUUUGUACCCUUCAACUGUAACUCGAUUUCUAAACUAUAAUUUGUGACAUUAUAGUCCUUAAACUAUGAAACCCCUCUUACUUAAGUACAAUGGUUAAUACAAUACCCGUGACUAGACAAGCAACCAUAACAAAAAAAAAUCCAAAAUUAGAGAAAAGAAAGAAGUUUCGCGACCAAAGUAUGUAUCAAGGCAUAGUAUAGAAAUAAAAGUGUCCAAAUUAAGAGUUUAGGGAUAAAAGAGAUCAAGAUAUAGUUUAGGGAUUGAUUUGUCUCAAUUAGAGUUUUGAUGUCAACUAAGAAGAGAGAUAUAGUUGAAGGGUAGAAUAUAGAUAUAACAGUUCAAUGAUUGAUAUCAACGAGACAAUGACAACUUUGGAUUAUUACCAACCUCUUCUUGAUGGGAAAAGGAAAUAGAGAAGAAAGUCGGGCCUGGUCUAAGCCUGCUUCGGAGGCAAAACAACAUUAUGAAAUCACCGGCAUUCACACAAAUAUGUCAAAGUCACCGGCAUGCUAAGUUGCAUAAUUUAUACAAACACUGAAUAAUAUAUUGUUCUUAAAAUUUUUGUUUAAGAUUUAACAAUUAGAGCACGGUACACGAAUUAGCAAUAUUAAAUAAUGAAUGUUCACGAUUGAUAAAGUUAUCAAAGUACAGUUUGAGGACAACCCAUUCCAACGUGUACAAGAUGUUUAGCCUUUGAAAAGUUAAUUAGAGAAGGUGACGAGAUUUUACUAGGCUUAAAUCUUCUAGGCCUCGGAAGUAAAAAAUGAAGGCCUUUGAGUGCUAUAAAAAGGGGGCUAGAUGUUGCCUAGAAGCAUAUCAGCCUCAGACCACAUUUUGUAGCAAUGGGGAGCAAAGCAAAAGCAAUGGGGUCUAGGCUGACUCCUCUUCUUACCACCGUUUUAGUGGUAUUUGUUGCUCUUGGCUUGCCUUCAGAAACUGUGGCUGAUUACUACAAGUAUUCAUCUCCUCCUCCUCCUUACCAUUAUUCCUCACCACCACCUCCUGUGCAUUCACCUCCACCACCGCCAAUUUAUAAGUCACCCCCACCACCUUACCACUACUCCUCACCGCCACCUCCAGUGUAUUCAUCUCCACCACCACCUUCGCCAGUUUACAAGUCUCCGCCACCACCUUACCAUUAUUCGUCACCACCGCCUCCGGUGCAUUCACCUCCACCACCACCUGUUUACAAGUCACCUCCACCACCUUCGCCAGUUUACAAGUCUCCGCCACCACCUUACUAUUAUUCGUCACCACCGCCUCCGGUGCAUUCACCUCCACCACCACCGAUUUACGAGUCACCUCCACCACCUCCUCCAGUUUACAAGUCUCCGCCACCACCUUACCAUUAUUCCUCACCACCACCUCCAACGCAUUCACUCCCACCACCAGUUUACAAAUCACCGCCACCACCUCCUCCUAUGUAUAAGUCCCCUCCACCACCUUAUCAUUAUUCCUCACCACCACCUCCAGUGCAUUCACCCCCACUGCCACCAAUUUACAAGUCUCCGCCACCUCCAAUCUACAAGUAUAAGUCACCACCACCUCCUCCCCCAAUUUACAA